rnacentral:lncRNA from 1 species
CGGUGAAGACGGGUCGGAUAAGGGUCCGAAAACUACAACACUUGUUAAAAAGGACAGGGAAUAAUUACCUUCACGCGCGCCCAUUGAAUUCUCGACAACCACUGCUUCUUUCUCCUUUCCGUAAACAAGAUUUCACCAUUUCGAAAAAAAAAUAAUAAUAAUAAUAAAAAAAAAACUUCAAUUAUUUGUUUGAAAUAAGGCACGUAAGUACAUAAUCAUUCGGAGCCUUUCACUACUCAACUUUCCUAUUCAUCUACAUAUCCCUCGAUAAUAAUCUUCAGGGAUAUACUCAGCCAUUGAUAAUUAUAUCAUCGAUUGAUAAUUUGUUUAAACAUGAUUAUGAUUUAUGAGAGUUUAAACCAUUUGGACAAGAUCGAGAUUUACUAGUGGUUCUUUGAUCAGUAUCCUAUUCAAAGUGAGAAGAGUAUAUAUAUCUUUUUAAUUUUUUUAAAUGACAAGAGUUAUCUCUUGAUAUGUAACUUCAGGCUCACAUGUUGAUAUAAAAAAACAAACUUUGCAUUAUAUUCAAGCUAUCUUCAUUAAUUAUAAUGUGAUUGUGAUUGUAAUAUAAUAUUAUAUUAUAUUCAUUUUUUUAUUUAUCAAAUAUCGUAAUAUAAUUUUAUAAUUCACAUUACGGAAAACAUUAAAAAGAUCUCACGGACCAAACACUCUCUUAAAUUGCAAGUGUCUUGUUGGCAAUAGGUAAAAAAUGUUUACUAUGUAUCUAUAUAGAAAAAAUGGUGUAAUUUACUAUAGGGUACAAAGAAAAGGAUUAAGUCUAUCUUUCCUAUCUAACCCUUGAAGAUUUUACUUAUAUAUUAAACAGUGUUUAAAUGGAUUUUAAGUUUUUCUUUUCAGCAUGACCAGACGGCAGUCUUCGUAUUCUAACAACUACCAAUAGAUACUGAGUUAAAAAUGUUUUUAGCUGUUGGAGUUUAGUGGGUGGGCUAGACAUGACAGGGAGAGGAUACCUUGGAUGAGCGUUACCUCGGAACAUGGGGCUAACCGUACUGUUAUAUUCCUUGAUGAAUUCAUGAAACUAAUAAAAUCCAAGAAUUAAUCGUUAAUCCCACUAUGGGUUUAUGGUAAAGACAAAGAAGCUCACGUCCCAUUAAAAAAAAAAAGUCACCCAUGGAGUCGUAACGUAACCCUAAAGAGAAAGGGUUAAAGAAAAGAAGGGUUGAGAAAGUGAACCGGGGGGGGGGGGGGUGGAGAUUAAAAUAAAGGCGUUGUCGGCUGACUGCCUAACUCUGAAGCAACAUUGAAAACCACGCAACUGAGCCACAAAAAACAAGUGGCCCAAUUUACAGCUCCUUUUUCUUUCUUUCUUUCUUUUUUUUUCCUAUUGGUAUUAUCGAUUCCUGACAGUUCUCAGUCACGUACGAACCAUGAAGAGCUAGCUAGCCUAAAGAGUGACCACCCAACAACACAAAAAAGAGAAAAAAGGAAAGCAGCAGAACAGAUCCAAGAUCCGGUUCUUUUCACAUUUUUUUUCCUUUAUAUAUAUAAUAAUAAGGAAAAGUAGCAAGUACUAGUUUGGUUCUAGUCUAUGAGAGAGAUAGUGGACCAAUAGGGGAACCUAUAGCGGCUCUAAACUCUCCUUGAAACGUAAAAAUAGGGAAUUUCAUCAAUAUAUUCACAUGCAUGGAGAACGAUAUAUGAUGAUAUUGAUUAGAAUUGAAGGCAUCAGGUUAGAUAAACCUGUUCAUGAGAGAGAAUGAACUCAUGUGAGCAGCAAUACCUGAUUCAUGUUAGUAUAACAUUGAUAUUUAAGGAGAGACGUUUGGGAGGGGCGAUGUGGUGCAGUGAAAGAGGGUGAGCUCGUCCCAACGCAUGUACAUCUCCCAAAUGGGUCUCUUACGGAUUGUGUUUUCCGGUAACGAACUCACUUCUUGGAAAAAAUUGCCCUUGGCUUUGGCUCUUCUGAUAUCCCGGAGAUGGUCCUUAGAACCGAUCACUGCCUUGCCUGUACACACUAAGAGAAAGGGUUACUAUUAUUUUAUAAAGAAGAUGAACAUAAACAAAAGAAAAAACAGAAAAAAAAAAUUUAAACAGCAAAAAACCCAUAAACACUAGCUAUGGCAUAUUACAGUAUAAUUGGAUUCUGUCCUCUUUUAUUUAUGCUUUGUUCCAAACCGACAGGCGCCUGAUAUUUUACAUAAGGCUAACAUCUCAACCAUAUUCUAUCCCUUGACAUGCCAAAGAAAAGUUAUCAUUUUGUUACUACUAACUUUUUUAUGCUUUCCUUCAUCAUUUCCUUACCCCCACAAGUGUUGAACAAAGACCUCCGUGCUUUUUGCUUUUCUUUUUGCUGAUAAACAGGCAUGUGGUUUUUAUUCCCACAUGGUCUAUAAACCGAAAGCUCUAUUUCCUCCUGUAAUAAUCGGUUGGCAUAAUCAUGUUGACGAUGAUGGUAUAUAAAAGAAACCCUCACCUUUCCAGAUCAGGCAUAUAUAUAACUACAGUAUUGGUGCAAUCCAGAAACACCCAAAAUCAAGCAAUGCUUAAAAUUAGAUUUAGAUCCCAUAAGCAAACAUCUUAACACACCAAAACUAAAGUAAUGGAAACCAAUUUAACACUCAAACACAAGUAGCACCUGAACUUCUUCCACUUAACCAUAAAAAAACCAACUUCCAAAUCUCUUGCUGCUGCAUAUGGUUAAUUAGGUAACAUAAACGGUUUUUCAAAUGUACUUUACUGGUAACCCUUUAGGCUCAACUUUGGUAUAACUUUACUAAAGAGAACAUCUAAAACGUCAAUCCAGAAAAUUCUACUGGUUAUUAAAAGUAUUUUCACUACAACUAAAGUUGCAGUCUAUCAAGCCCAAGUCUAGAAAGGAAUUUCCAAAUGCCUGAUAAGCAUAAUUAAGGGGGCAGCAUCAAGAGAUAAGGCAGUCCACAAGCACUAAAUCUGAAGUAAUAGUAGCCAACAAAAACUAAUGCACCUGACGUUAGUCAUGAUGUAUUGCUGCUAGGAAACACGUAUAGGAAUCACAAGACUCUGGCCUACCAUAUCACUAUUACAUAUCAGUAUAUCCUUCAACAUUCAGGGUCGCAUUCAGUCCAAUAUAUAUAAAUACCUUUCAAAAAAUAAAGUCCUAUAUAUCAUAUAUUAGCGCUCCGAUGCAUUUAAUUGUUCCAAGAUAGAUUAGGACUGGUCAACAAAAGAGCGUUUAUAUCUCUUGCUUGUGGGGUUUAAUGUCAAGUAUUAUCCACAGUAGUCCGCUAGCUAGUAGCUAAGAAGGUCUAGUCCUGUCAUGGACUCAUGGGAGAGGUUGAAUUAUUGAUCAAUAACUAAGCUGAUAACGAAACUAGUAAAAUGCUCACUGCUUAAGCUAUCCAUAUGCAGCCACCUGCUUGAUGAGAAAAAGGUGCAUCUGCCUCACGCCGUUCAUAAUUGACCAUUGGAUUAUAACAUCCUGCUUAACUGAUAGUUUUGGGUUAAAAUAAAAAAAAAAGGUUUAAAUACUGUAGUCCUCUCUCUCAACACCCCUCUCCCUCUCUCUCAACAGUCAACACUCAAGAAGCACACACGGAGAAGUGAACAAACACACAAGAAAUUCAUGCAGGUUAAAUGUGUGAAGGAGUUACAGUAUAUGACGGCAUUAAAGUAAUUAAAAAAUUCGAUUUAGUUUCAGGAAGCUAUAUGCGUACCAUGUUUUCUUUCUCAUCUGUUACGCAUUCCAGGAGGCACAAUAUCCCCAAGUAACCCUUCAUCUGUGGGAAGCUGAGGGGUUGGUUCUGGCAGCGUACGAGAUCCUCCUACGUCAAUGGGUACUUGGUGUGGCUGUGUUAUGCUUGGAGGAAUUUCCCUAUGUAACUGUACCCCUGGAUAAUAAAAUUGUGAGAUUGCAGGAGUCAAUUGACCAGCAAAGGCAGCUUCGUGGCUGAUGUGUCCACCACGGGGGAAUCCGACACUGUGAUGACAGUGUUGACCUUCAUAUGUAGUAAUGACAGUGGUGGGAUCUUCAGAGGAACGUUCUACCCUCUUCUUCACUGUGCAUUUGCUAUUUGUGCAGCGAUAGUAGCUCCUGUAAAAUAUGUGGAGUCAAAAUUUGCACAACAUUCUUAAUAUUUUCCUUCCAUUAAUGAAUUAAGCAUCAUGAUCAUUCCUUUCUUUUUUUAAAAACCUACUUUGUAAAUUCCUAUUACCAUGUGCUUUAUGAAUUUGACAUUAGAUAAUACAUGGAUAGGUUCAAUCUCACAUAAAAUAUGACAAAAGCAAAAUAUUGAUGCAGCUGAAAAUUAAGAGUAAAUGUUUAAGAAAAUAGAGAGUCAAAAAAAAAGAGGUGACCUAACAUUCAGAGAAAAUGCUAAUCUGCCAUAAAGUCCUAACAAUCACAUAGUCAUGUCAACGUGCAUUGAAUGGUCACAGCAUCAAACUUAAGAAAGUAAGUGGUUUAAUAUAAUCAAAAUUCAACUUUCGUUGAAGAAAGGUAUUAUUAACUCCAGUAUAACCAUUUGAUUUAGGGUAUCUUUAGUAUAUAAACUGAUGGAAUCUCCCCCUAGCAAAGAAGGUAAAACCCAUACACAAACUCCUGGAAGGAAAGUUCACUAUAAUAUUGAAAAGUGAAUACGGUGUACAAUGUUUUUCACUUUAAAGUUUUAAAUUAUUUAACAGAAACCAGGCACUGAAUCAAUUCAAAAAGUGGGUAACAUGUCAGUUUUCUCUGAUUUAGAAAUGGCAACAGACCUAGGGUAUGGACUAUUUUUAACUGCCUUUUGUCCAUAUUUCCGCCACCGAUAGCCAUCUUCAAGAUGAUCAACUUCACUCUUGGUCACAAAUGCAAAUCUUGGCUGCCGGAUUCGCUUUUGCCCCUUCUUCCUGACCUUACUCCUACAAAAAUAUCCCACCUACAAUUAUCACAAUGGAAAACAAAAUCCUAAAAAUUAAGAAUAUAUCAUUAAGUUAAUGCAUGUUUCAAUUUGCUACCAAGGUUUAAGGAAAGAGAACAGAAAGACUUAAAGACAGUUCCAAAGAAGAAACUAGAAGUAUUAGGUGACAAUUACUAGGAUAUAUAAUUUGUUUUCCUCAAAGAAGGGAAAUCUUUCUAAAAUAGGUAAUACUAGUAAAUGAAGAGCAGAAGAGUGCAUAUGUAAAAAGUCACCAAAAUUAACAAAUUGUGGUAAAUUUUUUAGAAAUUAAAACAACAGAAAAAGGAAGCUGCUAUAAUUAAUAUGUCAGGAAGUAGUCAAGCAAAUUUCAUUGUAUAUGCACUGAAAGAUAUUCAAAAGUGAGAACUGUGAUUCUUGCAACUGCUUUAGUAGAUAUCUUCAAUGUAUAUGAAGUACAAUACUUGAUUAUUUCAUAUACUGCAACCAUAAAUGAUGGUGAUGAAAUCCAACUAAGUAGAUGCUACUAAAUAUGAAACCCAAACUUCCAGGGAACAUAUGCAAUAUGGAAAUCCAUUAUUUUAUGAGAUAUGUUGAAUGCCCAUUUAUUGCAAAAGAGCAUUUCAUGAAUUUAAAUGCCUUUUAUCAGUUUUUUUUUCAAGAAUAAUGCAUGUCCAAAGCCAGUAAAGUAAGACUAUGAAGUGCACUCCCAAGCUCCUAAACAAUGGAAAACCCACCUUAGAAAUGACACUAAAAUCCCACCAACAUGAGCAAAUUGCAACUCCCAUUAUGGUUCUGGUAAAUGGGAAUGGUAUUGCUUUAUCUGAGGGAAUGAAUUUAGAUCAAAAGACAGACUUCAUAAAGAAAUGGAAGAUGUUUCCUAGAUUAUGUUACCAAAAGGGGGCUUUUCCGGGCAAUAUUCUCGCCUUAUGCCUUUUAUUAACGUAAUUAAAACGUAAAAAUGAGAACGGAAAGGAGCAAGGGAAGUAGUAAAAAAAAAAAGAUUCCUCAAAGCACGCCAUUUCCGCCGCAAUAACGGCGGUGUUCAAGGCCACUUUUUAUUUUUAACCCUAUAUUACCUUAAUUGCACCUAUUGUUUCUUAAAAUUACAAAACUACCUACAACCCCCCCCCCCCCCAACUUGCAUGAAUUUGACAGUUUCAGAGCGUACGGACGCCGAAAAUUGCACCCGAUCUCUCUCGCCCUUUUCCUUCCAUACGGAAGGGAAGGCCCUCUAUUCAAGCAUGACUUUUGACACGGUUAGCUUUAUUAUAAUCUGUCACUUUACCCACCGAAAUUGUACUUUAAUUACGAUUCAGUCCCUCAAAAUAUCCAAAAAAUUAAAGGAAAAAAAAGGCAUUUUUUUCAUGACUUUUUUCUUAAAAAAAGUUCAUCAUUGGUGAUGUGUGUUCACUACUACUCACGGUAUCUCGGGCGGUUUCCCGCCGGAGCCCGUAGAUUUCUCCGGCGGAUCUUCGCUGGAGCUCGACGACACCGACGGAUUCGAUGUCGACACGUCAGCUGACCCGCUCGGAUUCGUCGCCGUCCCCGAACCCGAACCAGCAGCAGCUGCACCAGAGCUCUGUGAGCCGCUAAAGUUUCCCGCCAAAUCAGGCCUGGUUUCGGUACGGUCGAGUUCACCGAACCGCUCAAUCUCUUCAGCCUGGUCCGGUUGUAAAUUCCAACCAAACUCACUCAGUAUACUGCUUUCCCUAUCGAAGAAGUAAUUGACGCUGUCGGAGACCGGGUCAGGUCCAGGCAGUGUCCAGCUCGAAUCGGACGUAAACUCAUUCCGUGGAUCGGCCCCUUCUUUAUCUUCCAUCCUUCAAAAGCUUCAGCGAACAAAAGAAAAAAAAAAGAAGAAAAAGAAAAUCAAGGAUUCAAAGCAUCCAAACAGAAUCUAAAAGAAACGCGGAGAGAGAAGAAAUAAAGAACAAAAAGGGAACAGCAACGGAGAGAGAGAGAGCGCUAGGGUUUGUUUCUGAGGGGCGCGUUUUAGAGUUGGGAAGGGACGCCUAGUUUUUGAAAGCUUUUUGUCCCGUCAAUCCAAAGAGAGAGAGUGAGAGAGAGCUGAAUAGAACGCGCGAGUAACUAAGAGAGAGAGAGUAGAGAGGGGGAACAGAGGAAAGGAUAAGUUAGAAAAAUCGGCGUCAACCGAAAAUAGUUACGGGAGGUUGAUAUUUAAGCAAGGGGAGGGAAGGGGGGAGAGGGAAGGGAGGGAAAGGGUAUAGUGAGAGAGAGUGAUGGUGUGUGGGCCCCACGCGCAUGAAUGAAAAUAGAGAGAUACUUUCCGACAUGAGGGAGCACCAUGUUUUUUUCCUCUCCAGUGACUCGUGUCUUGUUAAUGGGAUUUUUAUUAAGGGGGGGGACGAGUUUGAUUUUUUCCCCCUUUUUUUUAUUAAUUUUCUUUUCUUUUUCAAUUAAUCCUUUUUUUUAAAAAAAAAACCUUUUUCUUUUAAUUCUCCGAUGGGUGUUUUCUCUUUUUCUUCUCAAUAAGUUAGUUAGUUUUUAUAAAUUUUUUUUUCAUUAAAUACUUUUAACUCAAACGAUAUAAUUUUUAUUUAUAAAAUUAAAAUCUAUUUCAUUUCUUUUCCAUAUAAAAUCAGUGAAAUUUUUGUCUAGUCCACAUAAAGAGAUUUAGAAGAGACUUAAACAGCAUUGAUUGAAGUCAUUCAUCCCUUAAUUUUAUACUAGUAAAUGUUCCUCUUUCAUUUUCUUAUGUACACUAUUUCUUUCCCUUUAUAUGAUUAAAGAUGACAUUAAGAGUAUCGACUUUAAAAAGUAAUGAUAGUUAAAUUAAUUCUGAAUUAAACAAAAACAAAGUAUGGGUUGACGUCUUAAAUGAAAGUUAAUUACGUGAAUUUUUUGAAAUUUUUUUUUCCAAUUGAUCAUUAAUAAGUAUUAAUUAAUUUUAAAAAGUUAAAAUAUAUUUAAACAUGCGAUAUAAUACGAUGAGAGAUAUUCUCACCCCAUAAUAUUGAGUACUAGACUUUACUUUCUUUCUUUCCAAAAUGAAAACAUCCAAUACUUUUUCAUUUAGCAGUAAGAUAUGUAAUUUGGCAUUAGAUUAAGAGAUAUUUAGUUUAAAAGAGAAGAAGAGAACUUUUGCACAAAGUAAGCAAGUGGCUCGAACCAGACACUUGUAUUUUGCAUAACGUUAUAAUAACAAGUGGUGGGCUCUUCCCUUCAUGCCUUGACUGUCGACUAGACCAUGGAAAACUUUGUUCACAGAUUUGUGAACAUUCUUGAGGCACAUGGCCUUAAGGGCCAUGACCAAACCCCUUCGAGAAAAAAAAUAAUGUCUUAUAGUAGGACCCCUUGGCCAUGGCUACACAAUUAUUUCUUCCUUCCUUUUUUUUUUUUUAAGGUUCAAGAAAGAACCCAUAUCACUUCGUAAACUUUAAAUAGGUUUGGACCAGCUAGCUCUUGUACAAGAACCACAUAAAUUGGAUGUGCCCAAGUCUUUUUCUUAGUAGGGAAAGGAAAUUCUCUAACUAGUAGCAUAUGAUCCACAAAAAAUUACUCCACAACAUGUAAAAUUCAACCAAAAGUUAGCAUUGAAUAACUAAGGUUUACAAGGAUGACAGUUAAGUCAUUAGUCUAAAUGUACUAUCCCUUAUCCUAUCUCGAUAUAUCGUUACAAAAAUUUCUCCGUAUCAACGUCGAUCAAUACUUUCUCACCCUUUUUUCAAGAUCACUUUAGAUUCCUUGAACUACAUAAUUGUAGGGUUGUCCGAAAUCUUUCUCAUUCAAUACAUAUUUUCGUCAUAAUUUAAAUUCAAUUUUUUUUUUAAAUGAGAGUGUUAAGCUUUGACUAAGCGGAGUAAGAUGAAUAUGAAUAUAUAUUGAAUUAAUUUUGUUAAUACAAAAUAAACUUUUUUAUACCUGAUUUCUUUUUUUAUUUUCAACAAUCAUUUGAGUUUGAGCAUAAAUUUGACCUGUAUGGAUAGACCAUGAGUUACUUCUAGAGAAAAGGAAACUUAAAUUUGGGAUAUGCCCCUAAAUUAAAGAAGGCAAAAAGAUGUAAGGCUUGCAGAUGUGGUCAGAAAAUCAGAGUAGUACUUUGGGCUGAAUUAAUAUCGGUUUCAUUAAAUUUGUGAAUUAAUUAUUGUCAAUUUUAGGCCUUUGACCCACCAAUAGAAAAAGCAAUUUGAUCAUGUGGAUAAUAAUUCUUUUUAGCAACUUUUUAAUUAAAUAAUUGUACGUACAAUUAAGAUUUUACAAUUUAUUUAAUAAAUCAAUAUAUAAUUAAAAAAAAGUCUAACAUGAUGUAAGCAUAUGAAACUCGUAACUAAUGAAAUUUAAACUUGAGAUAUAAAAAUUUCAAAAUAUUUUUUGCUUGUCAUUGAUAUUAAUACAAAAUUUUAUCUAUUUCGUUUUCACAAUUAAAUCUCGUAAAAAUGUGUUGUGUGAAUAUGAUUUUAUUAGCAAAUAAAAUGAGUCAAGUUGAUGUAAAUUAACCCAUUAUCUAAAUUUAAUGUACUAAAAGAGAAAAUGUAGAACAAGAUCAUGAAUUCAUUAAUAAAUAUUAAUGAAAGGAUUAAGGAGAGAGAGUUGUUCCUGCUGUCUAUACCCCAGCUGUUAGGGAAAAGAAAAAAAAAAAAGAACUCUAUUGCUGCAUACUUGAUAAUAGUAAAGCUAUGAAGAGUCUGGCCCAAGUCCAUGCACGAUCCCUUCACGUGGAUGUGUCUUAUCCCCGUGAUACCCCGCCCCACAAGCUAAAUAAAAUCAGUACAAUCUAAAUUAUUGGUAAACUAUUGCAUCAAUCCAAGUACAAUUUUCUUUUAUUUUUUUGGCUUAAUAGUAUUCAAUAAUUUCUAAAUAAAUUGUUUCAAUUUUUCCUUAUUUUUUUUCUUUUUUAUCAUGUUUAACAAGUUUACUAAGAUAAUGUUGUGGAAAUUACACAAGAAUCAACAAAGAUAAAAUCUAAAGAAAUUAAGCAAACAGAAAAACACAAAAAUUUACGUGGUUCGGUCUUUUGCCUACGUCCACGGAGUGAAACUGUUCAUCUAUUAUUGAGAAUUUAAAGUAUAAUAAACUGACCUUUAUGGUUCCCAAAACAAUCCAAAAUCCCUUGCACACUCUUCCUCAAUAACCUCCCAAGAACACUCACUCAAACCACUCUAACUCCACCUAGCUCCACCUAGAACAAAAGAUAGAAUUACAAGAUGUUCCCUCUCUAGAGCUCUCAAAGCACUACUUGCUAUUCUAAAGCCUAGAAAUCCACUUUUAUAGUAUAAAAGUCUAAAGUAGAAUGUGAUUAGGAUUCGAUGUGGAAUAAGAAGUUUAAACCAUACAACUACUUAAUAUUGUAUACAAACAAAAAUUCUAAUCAAAUAAGAUCUAGAAUUAUAGUCAACCUAAAACUCAACAGAUAANAAUGUGAUUAGGAUUCAAUGUGGAAUAAGAAGUUUAAAACCAUACAACUACUUAAUAUUGUAUACAAACAAAAAUUCUAAUCAAAUAAGAUCUAGAAUUCUAGUCAACCUAAAACUCAACAGAUAAUGUGAAAAACUUUUAUCUCCCCUUUCAAAAAGAAAUUCAACAUAUUUAUCAAUACAUAUAAUAUAUAUAUAUAUAUAUAUAUAUAUAUAAUAAUAUAUUAAAGUUAUAUAUGAUAAUUGACAAAAAAUCCCUCCUGAAUAAUAAACAAAAGAAAAAUUAAGAUACAAGAUUGAGUCGAAUAGGAGAGGUGUUUGGUGUAGAAACAUUCAAUUGGGGUUUUGCACACUACAAAAAUUUAUAUUUUUUCUGACGAAAAUUUUUUUUGACAAAAUUUUUUAUUUAAAAAAAUUAAAAUUUUGUUUAUUGAAAAAAAUUAAAAUUUUGUUGAAAAUUUCCUUUUUCGAUGAAAAAUUUUGUUGAAAGUUUCAUCGUUAAAUGCACCGUGUUUUUACCGACAAAAAAUCCGCUUUUUAAGUUAAGAAAUUUCGUUAAGAAAAGGGUAUAAAAUUGUCAAUUGUACACCAUAAAUUCUGUUGAAAAGAAAAACGAAAUUUGCCAACGAAAGUUUUGUCAAAACUUAUUUUCAACAGAAUUUAGUUGAAAAUUAUCUACAAGAUUGAAUUUUUUUCACACUCGAUUUACAUAUGUCACUUCUUGUUAAUCAUUAAGAUUGGACCAAACCUUUUACUUACCUAACGUUAAAGACUUUUACAAGCGAAAUGUUCUAACGUAACUUGAAUUUAAUGAUAAAUUACCUUUUUUAAAAAAAAAAAUUGAAUCGAAUCAAAAUUUCACUUUUUCUCUUUUAUAAAAAAUAUAACUAAGAAUCGACCUGUUUCCGAAAUAUCUAUUUAAACAAAGGGUAUGAUUUAGUUAUUUUAAUUACCACAAAAUGUUGUAUGGAUUGGAAUCUGUUUGACAUUUGUUUAUAUAUGUAAUUUGAUGUUACAAUUCAAUAAAGAUACAUAGGCUUAACUUGAUUCUCAAGAAAAAAACACAUCACUAUCAAAUUUUGUCUAGCAAACAAGAAUCAUGAUAAAGGGAAAGGAUUGAGUUACGGCAUGUUUCCAAAGCAUAUAGUAAUAAUAGUAUUAUUUAAUUCUAAGUAAGAUCGUGAUGACAAUUUGGCACAAGCUGGCUGAUGGAUACAGCCAGAAAACACACGUGUAUUUAUAAGUUGAUGAGGUCCCAUGAUCUGGCCCCCUCUAAAAGGGGUGACCGCAUGGAAUCUUCUAAGAUUUGAACCAUUUGGGUUAUUGGAUUUGGGGAAAAAGAUGAGUGAAAAUUCAGAUUACCAAAAUGGAAUUAAUGGUUGCUGCAAUGCAAUGCAAGCAAACCCAUGGUGGGACUUUUUCCAUUUUGUGAUCACAAAGCAUGCAAACUCAUGUUGGAGGAUUGGAUUUGAGUGAGAUAUUGCCUGCCCUUCAUCUCUCUUGAUUGGUUUCUUUGGCUAGUCUUGGGACUUGUAGGUGUUGUUAAGAAGUAUGGGUUUGAAUGCUAUGAUGAAGAAAUAAAGAUUGCAUUGCAAGUGUUGGGUAUUGUUUACAUUUUGUCAUUUGAAUUAUAUAUACCAAAUUAGUAUUACAUGAUCAUUAUUUAUAUACUUUUGUCAUUUAAAAAAUUGGAUAAAUUUAUAAAUCUAAUUUGGUUUAAUAAUAGUUACAUCUAUUCUUAUCCUCAAAGAGUUAAGUUCAAAUCUCUUUUUUUCUCAAAAAAAUUUAUGAUAUCUCUUGUCUCUGAUGUAUGACUUAGGACUUUAAUUCGAUUUAGACAUCCUUCUUCUUUCAAAGUUUUGCAUUUAUGAUGGAACCAAUCAGUGAAAAUUUGGUAUAAUUUCAUUUUCUUUGUUGUUAGUUUCUAUAUUUCCAUUUUAAAUAUGAUUGAUAUGGGUGGUGGUUGAGAGGGAGAGAUUUGCCCUAAUACGAAAAAGAAAAGGAUGGCUCACAAUUUUGAUCCCAUGGAGGAGUUUGAUGUACAUCAACUGCUUGUGGAAAAGUAUCUGAGAUGUUGUGUUUGUUAAUACUUUUCUUGAUGUUAAUGCGUUUGUCGAUUCUCUGAUUAAUUUUGAUGUUGAUCAAACAAAAAUGUAUUUUUAAUAUUUCCAACUUGUUAUUUAAUUUCAAAAUUUUAAGACAUAUAAUGGUUUCAUACAAGAUAAAAAAAAAAAAAAGGCAUUACACCUUUUGGUCCCCAACCUAUGCAAAAUAAGCUUUUAAGUUGGCCGGGGCCCUUGAAGGAUAGGAAUGCGAUAUGAUUUUGAUUGAUUUAACUCUAUAUUGGCUUAAAUUCAAAACAUAGGACUUAAAAACCCAAAACCAGAUUAAUUUCCAUGAUUGAUCCAAAUUAGCCCUAAUACCUAAUACCUUAGCAUAAAUUAAACUUGAUAAUUUUACUCAUGUCGGCAAAGUAGACUUCAAAUUUUUUUUUCAAGUGUGUUAAGGAUUGGAAAAUGGAUUCUUUUACAUAAUCUGAUGAUGAGGACAUUCUAUCAAAAGAAAUUUUGCUUUGACAUUUGAAUUGAUGCCCACUUUAAAAUCAAUUAAACUUUCUUUUUUCUCGUCAACUUUGGUUAAAUAAAAUAUUAACAUAGAUCGGUAGUGGAGCAGAGUCGCACCCUUUAUAUGAAUCAGUACAUAUCGUUUUUCCAAAAAGCAUAAGAAUAUGUUGCAUUGCUUAAAACGAUCACCUAAGCAUCUUCUACUGUGUUGAUCUACAUAAAUGGAUAUAGAAACAGAUUGUCUCGAUUUAUUAGAUUAUGGUACGAUUACGAUAUUGUGGGAUUACUAUUACCAUAUUAAUAAUUUGAUUUUUUAAAUAAAUAAAAAUAAAAGUGACGGGUAUACGAUCAUUCGUUUGUAUUUAUAUAUAAUAAAUAAGAUAGAGAUCAUGCAUUUGAUAGUGCCAAGUUGAUUCAGUUGCGGUUUCAUCUUCAGCAUACAAAGUGGUCCCUUAACAUCUAAGUUUGGCUCCCACUUCUUUCAAUUCUAUUAUUUGGUUUAGAUUUUUUUUUAUAUAUUUUACUCUUUUAAAAAGCAAUAAUUAAAUAAAAAAAAAUCAGACCUCCUUGUCAUAAUCAUCUUUAUUAUUAAUUAAUCAUUCGUUAACACUUUUUUUUUUAAAAAGAAAAAUUGAACCUCACGAGCACCUCAGAAAUCUUGUUUUCACUCUGAUAUUUGGUGUUGUCAAUUUGGGAGAGAUGGGGUCCAAAAGCUACCAUUGCUUCCAGCCAAGCUUGGGGAUAUAGCUAGGGGUCGGUCAUCAAGGUAUUUGCAAAGCAAGGCAAUUUGAAUAUACGUGUGGAGGAAAAGAUUAAACAAAUGUUUAAUUUUCCAUUGAUAUUUUGAAUCAAAUCAAACAUGCUCUUUGCCUAUAUAAUAAUUGAUCUAGGUGUUGGACCAAUUUGCUCCAAUCCUGUUUUUGGUAUGCUUUUUACUUAUAUAUAUGUCUCCUUAUCACAUGUAUAGAGACACACACACACACACAAGUCAUACAUAUAAAUUUAUAUACGUAAUCGUAGUUGAACCUAGUUUGUUUUGGAGUGAAUGAAGCUAACUCGAAAUUAAGUUAAAUAUACUUACAAUCUAUAGCUUUGAAACAUAGAAAAUUAUUUUUAUAUGCAAUAUUUAAUUUUCUACAAGUUUCUAUAAUUAGCAAUUAAAGGUUUUUUUAUAUAUGGAAAUUUCAACAAUGAUGUUUAUAGAAAGUAACAUAUCAAUUAUUGCACAGAUGCAAUUGUUUUGGGUUGAUUUUCAGGUUCUCAUACGCAAACUGCACAGGAAGGGGUCUACUGUCUCCCAUGUGAUGUUCUGCUCUACUAGCAUACUUUGGUAAUCAUCUUUUAAGCAAAGAGAUCAAUUCUUAUACUUUUCUAAAAAUAAAAUUAUUACAAAGAUACCACAAGUACUAAUAUAACUAGAAUUUUGACAAAAAAAGAUUAGAUUGCAAUGUUAGGGCAUAGGGGUUGGUAUGUUUCUGAUAUAAACAUCUACAUAAUGAUCAGAUUGGAGGAGAUAUCAGAAUCAAACAUGAUCAGCCUUCAGCUUGAAAGGGAUUUGUGUUAUUUUAUCAUUUGAUUUUCAAUGCAAUAAUGAUUGCAUUUAGGACCUUCCUAAGAUUGGUUUAAGUACUUUAAUAUAAUCUCCCCAUGCUAUACACAUUUUCAGAGAAGGUUGCUGUUUUCAUCAUUUCUGCAGCUAAAAACUUGAACCCUUUCCAGGAAACAACUACCUUUGUGAAUGAAACAAAGAUCUUUCUGUUUGUUAAUCAAUUGUUAAUUACUUUAAUUAAUAUAAUUAAUCAACACCGACACGCUUAGAAUUAAUAUCUAAUGCCAUCAUAAUCCCGCGUUAAUGAGCAUGAUUAGUUGCCUGUCAGAUGUCUUGUUAUGAUCCUGAGGAAAUUGCACUACUUGCCCCCAUUCAGGUGUUCAUCAGGUCAUAUAUAUAUAUAUAUUAUUUCAUAUCAAUCAGCUCGAAGCUUCCAGUUAAAGAUCAAAAUAAAUCAGAAAUUAACAAUAAAAAAAAAGCACUUGCAACUGUUAGAAAGUCAGCAGAAAGUAUCUUUCCAUUACAACUCUUAACUUUACUUGAGAUAUGAUCACAAAGGCAUGUGCUGCAGUCAUUUGGAAGCAUAUAUAUUUCAAUGUUUUAAUUAGGAAGUAUGUGAUAAUUUAUGUUAUUAAUUUUACCUACAGGAGACAAUGAAGGUAUGCCCUUAAAUGACACCCAAACUGAAUUUUCCAAGCUCUUUCAACUUUAUCUGUCAAUGGCUGACAACCAGAAAAUUCACCCUGGUUUUGUGAAAAGAAAGAAAAACAAUUGAUUAGAAACAAUCUUGACUACUGAUUUAUAUGAAUCCAGGAUAAAUCUUGCUGGGAGGAAGUAAGCAUACAUACACCAAGAGCUUGAAGCUAGUCUCUGAGCCAUGCACUUGCCGUCACAGUCAGGUUUUGAGGACCACUUUUUAUCUUUUAUCUCACUCUCUCCUAUCUAGUUGCCAAUCAUGUUGCAGAAUGGCAGUGGUUCCUUCAUGACCUGAUCAGCUGAUCAGAAUUUUCAAGUAGUAUAUAUAUAUAUAUAUAUAAUAUCGGUGGACCAACCCUCCUUUCCUUUUCCUAUUUUUGGUUUACCUUCGCUUUCAUGAAAUGACAGGCGUCACAUACAACCCUAAUAUCCUAUUUACAGAUGCUGGUUAUGAUUUUCUCACAUAUUCCUGCCUACAUAAAAAAGCAGAUUAUGUGCCGACAAUCUUACUAAAAAUACUGCUAAAUUUGGGAUUUAAAAGUAAUAUUUGAUCUUAGAUUUGAGUUCUUUUGUUUAUAAUAUUAAUAUUUAAAACUUGGUGGAAGAGUAUUUUCGUGUGUUAAAUCUAAUUAUAUAUAGCAUUUGAGGCACCCUUAGUUGCAUGAUUAAGUUAACAUAUUUAAAGGGUUUGGUUAACAAAUGUUUUUAAAACACAAUAACAAGUAAUUCAAUAAUUUUUAAUACCCUUUUGACGGUGUAAAAUCCGUACUAUUAAUAAUUUUACAAAAAUACCCUUUUGACGUUGUAAAAUCUGUAUUUAAAACUUGGUCGAGAGAGCAUUAUCUACUGAUUAGCAACAAAAUCCUAAGGGAAAUUUGGGGGGGGGGGGGGGGGAGGGGUUAAUUAAGGAUUAAGAGGCUAACAACGAACAAAGAAAUUGCAGCCGACACCAACCUAAAUGAAUGUUAGUUACCAUGAUACGAUGUAGCAAAAAGUGGGCCAUUGGGGGGUUGGGGGUAUUAUACCAAAACCAGGAGCAUUGAAUCUGAAUAAAAUCAUCAUACAAUAUUUUCCCUUAUUAGUAAAUCAUGAUCAUCAUUACAAGUAGUGGUGGCAAUGCCAUGAUUCUUGAACAACAACCACGAGAGAAAGGAGAGGUGGUAACCCCCCUCUUAAUUCAUGAAAGUGACAUUCACAGCCAAUUUGCUUGCAAAAAUACAAAAGAGUUUCAUUUGACAGAAUCUCAACUGCUCACACUAAGGCAAAGUGAAAGAAAAAAAAAUUUUUGUUGCCAAUUGUACUACAGAUUCUGCAGGUGCAGAUCAGUGAAACAUAAUCCAUAUGGUGCAUGAACCAGAAUGCUUGCUUUGCAAGCGACGACUGUUCUUGGGGUCGACCCCCCCUUCCCUUUUUUUUUUUUCCUUUUAACUUUAGCUUUGCAUUAUUGUUUAUAGAGAACCAAUCUUAAUUAGAUAGGUCGCUUUACUAUAUAAAUAAAAAUAAUGAAAUAUCUGUAUGUCCAUGGCUAAUGAAGAUGGACCACUUUUGUAAACUUUAUUUUUGGUGGCGUUUUUCGGAUAAGGGAUAAGCUCCCAUUGGCGUUUUGUUUUGCCUGUUUCCACGCGUUUUGUUUGGGAAGUACUGUCUCUUGCAUUUCAAGCAAAGCGCCUUGAUCAAACUAGUUCAAUAACCCCAUUGGCAGUGCUUGAAACACCCAAUUAUAAUAGACUAGGAUGCUUCUGAUGUUGAGAGGCUGGCCUGUAUUAUAGCAGUUUAACAGGCUUUCUUGAUGCUGUCUACAAUUAGGAAAACGAAACUUUUUUCACUGUCAAGUUGCACUUCUAAUGCUUAUGCUCUGACGUCUCCAACCCCAUAUAUAUCAAUCACCUAAUCGAACUUCAGGCUCGUUGGUAUGCUCAAGAGAAAGAGAUAUUUAGGUUCUGUUAGUGUAGGAGGCACUGUAACAAAUCUGGGUUUUAGCUAUAUUUAUUUAUUUGCUCAAUCAAGAUGUAUUUGUUUAUAGAAAUCCAUCACAGACCUUAGUCCACUACCAUAAGAACAGGUAUGGACAAUGAAACUUCUGAAACUUUUAUAAGCAAAGUGCAGCUGCUUAACCCUUCAUGUAUAUUAAUGGAUCUAAUUAAUAUUCUUAGUAAUUCCUAGUUUAUAGUUAAUUUGAUGAUUGAAUAUGAACAUAAAAAGAGAGACAUAAGGGGAAAAUUAGGAUUGUAAAUCUUACAUUCCAUGAAAUUUUAUGACUACCUUGCAUGCUAGAGAUGUAUGGCCAAUCAUGGAGGCAUCAAUCUCUUUUGCCAAGAUCAGUUCCUUAAAAUAUCAGGCUUGACAAGAAUUUAUGUAUUCCUCCCUAGCUAGCUAGGCUGGAAACUUCUGGUGACAAAUACUACAAAAUCUUAUCUUGGGUGGGAUCAAGAACUCAAACGCACGCAACUAGUUUUUUAAGGUCAAACUCUCCUCAAAGUUGAGGAUUUUCAAAAGCCCAAAGAACAGUUUAUGCUUGAACUAGAUGCAAUCAUUAUAUCACCCGUGUCUCCAUUGACUUUUAACUCUCUGCAUGCUUGAUUUCUUGGAGUGGGAAUGGACCAAAUUUGGGGUCAUUAAUUUAUACCUAACUUAUCAAUGAAAAGGAGAGAGAGAGAGAGAGGAAAUAUAGUUUUGGAACAUCUAACAAGCAAAUAAUUAAAGCAAACCAAUCUCCAACUUUUUUAUCUUCUAAAAAGUGGUGUUAGUUGCAUUGCCAAGACUUUUAUAUUUUAGGGACUCUAGGUCGUAGGUGACUUAUUCAUGUUUGUGACACUGAGCAGCAAAUGAGCUCGAAAGCAACUUUUGAAAAGGAGUUAUUCCAUAUAUAUAUAUAUAAAAUAGUAUUAGUGAUAUAAUAGUAAAUGAGCUCGAAAGCAACUUUAUAAUACUUUUAAAGGGUAUCCUGAGAUUAACUUUCACAACAGAAGUGUAGAACAUGCAGAAAAGUGUAUAUGGAAACAUAUUAGUAUUAGUCUUUUCAUUAAAAGGACUUCACCUUCAAAGUUUUGCAUAUGGUUCUUUUGCGGUUAGAAUUGUUCGAUCGAUGAAGCAAAUCAACAGGCUUUAGUCUACAUCAAACGUCUUCAAAAUUUGGAAAAAAAAGGAGAUUCUCAUGAUGCAUCUGGUGUAGUGAUAUCAAAUAAUACAUAAAGUAAAACCCUUUUUAAUUGAUAAAUGUUUGGCGGAGGAGAUUGGUUGCUGUCUUGCGGGAUGAACAAAGCCUUUAAGAAAGAAAUGGGUUGAAGACCGCAUUGAUCUCUCUUUGUCUGAUGGAGACUAGAGAUUAAGUCAUUAGCAACAGGGAAAUCGUGGAGGGUCUGCAAGCUCUCAGUCUCAGGUCCAUGGUUAAGAGUUAGAUAACAGGAACAGGCUCAGGUACCGUAAUGGAAUCAUGUGCACUAAAACCAUAUCAAUAGUACUGGUUUGUUCCAUGAUUUCAUAAUUUUUUCAUUGGGGGAGCGGGGUUGGAGUGGGGUGGGUGAGAAAUUGCAUACAUAUAGAACCACCAGAAUCAGUUCCAAUGAUUUCUGCCAGGAACUGUUCUUAAAUUUGUCCUUAAGAGACAUUUUAUUUAACCCUAGCACAAUAUUUUACGUAGCUUAACUCACAUAAAAUUCUGGUUUCAGCAUAAACAACUCAUGGUGUUUUACUCAGUUUAGCUGCUAAAAUUAAGGUAAGAGCUCCUGUUAGUGCUUCAUCUUGCAAGGAAAGACAAGGAAGUAAUGAAGGUCUCAUUAUAAGAUCUUAAAAACCCAAUGCACAUCCUAUUAUUCCCAUUUUUUCUGUUCCUGCAACCCUUUAUGAAAACAGAAGGACUCAAGUUAUGGCAAUUCCAAUAUUUUUGCAACAUCACAAAGGCAGGAGGUCUUUGCAGCUUGUAAUUGCAGUAUUGGCGUUUACUGAACCUUGAUAAGAAUCUUGCUUGCUGUAAAUCACUGCGAUCAACUGCAUAUUUUUUGGGAGAUCUUGAUGAUUCCAGGCCUUCCAGCUCUUCUAUAUAGUGAUAGGACUAAUUAGCACUAUACCAUGCUAUACUACUAAAUGUACUUAAUUCUACACAUGGAAAGGCAGAAAGGAGGAUGUAGAUGGGCUAAACUUGCAUUCACCAGGAUAACACAUAAGUAAUCAUGGCAGCACAACAGGAUCAAUCCUCCAGAUGUCCCUGGCAUAAUCAUGAAUAGUGCGGUCACUGCUGAACUUGUAUGAGCCAGCUGUGUUCAAAAUCGACAUUUUUGUCCAUCUCUGUUUAAAAAAUGGAUCAAAUCAGGUCUUGUAGCAAUAUAAGUAUGAUGCUGGUCAUCAUUAAUAUAUAUAAUCUUACAAAUGUAUGAGUGAGUGUUAUUUUAGACAAAGUUUUACACAUUUUCGUUUAUGUGUUUAAACAAUUAUGCACAGGUAAAAUUUAAAAUUUUAUUGAAAAGGAAAAGAUUUUCCGACCUAAGAUUGCUGAAACUGAGCUAGAUUUCGAAUUAUUGAGGUCCAGGGUCUUGGUAUGCAGAUUGCUCAUUAUAUAGAAUAACCUCAGAUGGAUCAAUAUUAUGCAAUAAUUGAACUGGCUGAAAACUACAAAACUGAAUUGCUCCCUACCUCUUGGCCUUUUUCCCUUUAGGCAAAUCCUGACUGAACAGAGUUAGACUUGCAUUAUUAGCUUAGACAUGUAGGGUACUGAUGUUUUAUGUGGCAACAAAAGUGUGCACAUCCACAUCUAUGUGUCUGAUGCAAGAGUGUUACCACAUUGUUGCUUACCUUUUGGUCUCUAUAUGCCUCGUCAACCUUCUCUUGGCACUCAAUGUAACUAGGAAAAUCUUUUCCGACAAGGAAAUAAUCGGCACGACCGUAACCUUCAUUUCCUUCCAAGGAUCCCAUCAGUUUUUCAUAGUUGUAGGGACCAAAAACACCACUUCUGACGUAUGCUUUCACUUCUUCAAACCUUGGGUCUGGCACAAACUGUGAAAAGAGAUCAAACAAGAUAAUAACAGUGAUUGCAAUAACCACUUCACCGGUUUCUUCUUAAAUUCAGGUUAUACGUUUUCUGUUAUGUGCCUUCAGGUUCAUUCCCAGCUUUCCAAAAGCAAAAACCAAAGGAAGGGAACAGGAAAGUAGGGCUGAUCUGACUUAUUAAGCUCACCUUUCCCUCAGCUCUUUCUUUCCUUAGUCCAGCUAUUUCGUGAGCCUUUGCACCAAAGAGAAAGAAGUUAUCUUCACCAACCUUUUGCCUUAUUUCAACAUUAGCUCCAUCUAAUGUUCCAAUUAGGAUGCAGCCGUUCAUUGCAAACUUCAUAUUGCUGGUUCCACUAGCCUCCAUUCCAGCCGUACUAAACAAUUAAAACAAUAUUUGAGAGACAGAGAGCAAUAUAUAUUAAUCAGUACCAACCUAUUGGUUUCAUGAUGUAUAUUGCAAAUUGAACAAGAAAAAGUAGUAAGGAGCCCAUGAUCAGAUUACCUUAUAUGCUGAGAUAGCUCACUGCCGGGAAUAAGCAUUUCGGCCACACUUACAUUGUAAUCAGGAACAAACACUACCUGACAUAUAAACAAAAAGAACAAGAUCAUGAUUACAAACAAGGAUCGGUUCCCAACAUCAAGCAAGCAUAGGAGCACUUAGUAUGGGCUUUGUCUAAUUCAGAAAAUUGGAUUUCAUUUAACAUGAAAAAGAAAUAAAAAGAAAAAAAGCAAUCAUUUUGGUAUCAAUCCAAUAGGAUUGAGUAAUCAUGCUUAACUUAGGUAGCAAAAUGACAGAUGGCCUUCAUCAUUUAAACUACAUGGGCAUGAAUACAGCCCUGUCUUCAUCUUAUCUGGUAUGCAAUGGUAAACAUUUCUUGCUAACAAAAUGAUUAGUUCAAUUGACUGAAAUUGCUUGCCUAUGAUUCAGAAAAGGAAUAUAUCAUGACCGUGAGACAUCUUUCUUGAUCAAUAACUAUUAUCGGUAAAAAUCACACCUUCAGAAGAUCUCCUAUUUCAGGAUCAUGGCUUACAGUAGCCCCGACAUCUGCGAUGAACUUCACUAUCCUUUUGGCUUGGAUGUAUGUAGCAAAAGCUUUUCCUCCAAAUAUGCAUACCCGAGGAACAAAGCAUGCUUUUCUUUCCUCAUGGCUCAUUUCUUUCAUUUUCUUAUAGCGGUAAACUAUUCCCAUAAUGUUCAAUAAUUGUCUCUUGUAUUCAUGGAUGCGCUUUACCUGCAAUUACAUCCAUAAGGUCGUCUACCAUUAAUUCAUUAGCUUAAAAAGAUAAUGAAAUGGAAGCCACAAAUCUUGUUUGGGUUCUUUCUUUUUCAUUAUUAACGAGUUGUGUGAGCGAGGCUUAGGCAAAACGAAAAUGUCGCUCGACUUCCUUUCCAUAACAUAUGUAGCUACAACAGAAUGAAUAAAAGAAGUAGUCUGAACUAGGAAGAAGUAACCUGCACAUCGAACAUUGCAUCGGGAUUGACAAUAUAGCCAAUUUUUUCUCUGAGGAAAGAUGCGACCUUAACCUUGUUUCUUCUUUUUGCUUCCCUCCAUUCAGAUUGAAGAUCCUCAUUAUCAGCAAACUGUGGACAAUUCUCAUCAGUCCUCUUAUCAAUAUGUAUAGAGCUAGCACAACAUUUAAUGGAAAUAUAGUAUAUUCUUUCCUCAAGUGUAUAUAUGAAUGUAGGUACUAGUUACAUCUGAGAAGAUAUGUUUCCAGAACACAUAUAGGAAGAAAAUCCUGACAAGGGAAAGGUAACUUGAAAGAGGAAAUUCAAACCCAAACUUUAUCUAGCUAUUAACUAAAUGUUGGUCAAGAACCAAUGUCUUAUUUGUUAGUCUAUCAGCUCAGGACAAUGGAAAUUCCUGCUCUAGUAACUGAGAUAAUCUAACUGAGGAAGUGAAACUUUAUGUGCAUGUUUCACAUGACUAAGACAAGGGAUCCACACUAGAUAAUAUACUUUUCAGCUGACAGAUAGGAUUGUUAAUGAAUGAAAUGUGAUUUCCAGAUAAAAUAAGAUGAAUCAACUUUCGACACCACUGUUUAGAUCCUUCCACAUUUCUAGCACCGCUUAACAGACAGCUUUUAUGGAUCUGAUUAGGACAUAUGCUUUCUUACUAUGCAAUUUAUUGGCUACCAAGAAUUAUAACAAGAUGCACAGAAGUUUCUGGUGAAGAAACUAUAUUUGUUGGAAACUACAAGGAAUUAAAACAUUUGAUUAACUUCAAGUUUGGAUAUGCCACUGUACCUUACGAAGUAUCAUCAAUUUCUCCGUAUUUACAACCCAGUCUUCUGAUCCAGUCCACUUAGUUAUAAUUUUGCUCAAGUCUGGAAUGCAAAAGCGAAUCCAUCUUCUUGGUGUAACCCCAUUUGUUUUAUUUUGAAAUUUCUCAGGCCACAACUGCCAAAAAGCAACAUAUAUGCAUAUCAUAAGUCCUAAAAUGAAACCAAUGCUUCGGUUUUUCAAAAUACAUUGAAUGGGAGAAGGAAAAGUUUAUCCCAUUUGAAUGGCUACCUUGUAGAAUUCAUUGAAAACUUCAUUUUUCACUAUUUCACUAUGAAUCUCAGCAACACCAUUCACUGCAUAGCCACCAGCAACGCAUAGAUUAGCCAUUCGGACCGUCUUGGGAAGUUUUGGAUCUGGCUCAAUUGGUGUCGCCUCAUCUUUGUUCUCAAUGUCCUGUUCCUCAAGUUGGUCUUCCUCAUCAAUUGGCUUAGUUUCUUCAUCAGAAAUAUCAUCUUCUUCAGUUGAAUCAACAACAGAACUUUUUUCUGGUUUAACAAACAAUUCAGCUACUGACUGAGGCAACUCAAUGUUAUCUAGAAUUCUCAUUUGUUUCAGCUUUUCUUGCAACAGUUCCAGAUCCUCUGCGCCAUACUCAUCAAUAAUAGUUUGAAUCAGCUGAUGCACAGAAUAAAGAGAGGUGUUAGAUUAUGUGGAAAAGAAUAUCUACUCUUCAAGAAAAGGAGAACUUUAGUUUAAUCCAUACACUAGAUAUAUCUCCUAGAGAGGACCUAAAAAUCACCAUAUUGCCUCUAAAGUUACCUCCUCAUCAAUCAUUCUAAUGAUCUCAACGUGUCGAGGAAGCAAUUUCUGCAUUAGCUCCAGACUGCAUUUCUCCAGUGCCUCAGGCAGAACUGUAUGGUUUGUGUAUGCAACAGUUCUGGAGGAGAGGUCAUCAACAAUAUAAAUACAAUAUACUAUAACCAGAAACCAAUUUAAAGUAUCAGAAAAUAUAGUAGUUCUUUCUAGAUAUUCCAGAUGUUUGCAAGGAUGUAAAACUUCAUAUGAUGGAUAGCAUAAGUCUAAUGCAACUUAUGGAACACGAACAUAUAAAUACCAGAACAGCUCUUUCAAAACAAUGUAUAGCAUUUAAGUCCAUGAGAGUAAGUACCGUUGUGUGAUAGUCCAGGCUUGUUCCCAGCUCAAACCCUUCACAUCCAUUAAUAUCCGUAUCAGCUCUGGAAUGCUGAGUGUUGGAUGAGUAUCAUUCAUCUGAACUGCAACCUUGUCAGGGAAAUUUUCCCAAUUCUCAGACUCUCCUGAUCUCUUUUCGUAGCAUGCAAUGAUGUCUUGGAGAGAAGCUGAGCAUAAUGUAUAUUGUUGCUUCAGUCAAAGAGUCUUCCCCUCAAGUGACUCAUCACCAGGGUAUAAUAUGUAGCAAAUCUGAUCAUGAUAAAAUAUUUUACCAAUCAUGUAAGAGAUGUAAACAUAAUUUUGGAAGCCAGCACAAACUGUGUGAUACAAAGCACUCAAAUUCAAUAUAGUUGUCGUGUUUCUGCCACCACCACGACAACGUCUUGGCUUUCAAGUGCAUCAGCAGACAACAGCAGGGAGGAAUUCACACAUUGCACUGUAAAACUAAAUUCCAAAUGAUUAUGAAUUCAAACCUUUUCAGCAUUCUUCAUUGCUGCGUAUGCUUUGGCAUGAUCUCCAGCAUUGAAAGAACGUAAAUCAAACUGAUCUGGUGCAACUUUAGUAAACCAUAGUCGGAGGUUAACUGUAGUUUUAGUUUUAUAUCCAGGUAUUGGAACAUCAUAAGCAACAGCCAUUACAUUUUCUCCUCCAACCCAUUGUUUAACUCCUUCAGGCCCUGAAAUGACUUCACCAUAGAAUUUCACAGGGUAGGACACAUCAUUUCUCACAAUUCCCCAUGGAUUUCCCAUCUGCAAUAUAAUUGACAUUGAUUCAACCAUUGAAAUCACUGUGUUAUUACUAAGAAAACAAACAAAGGUCCUAAUGAGACUAUUUAGAAAUACAAAUCAAUCUAAGUUUUUCAUAAUUGAAAUUGUUUUAACUCGUAAUAAGGAUGUAAUGAAAGAUACCUCAAGCCAAUUUUCUGCAACUUCCUCCUGACCAUCUUUCGUAAUAUGCUGUUUGAACAGUCCAUAUUUGUACCUAAGUCCAUAUCCCCUAGCAGGGUAAUUUAGUGUUGCUAGGGAGUCCAGAAAGCAUGAAGCAAGACGUCCUAAGCCACCAUUUCCAAGUGCAGCAUCUGGUUCCUAGUGCGCAAUCAACUGAAAAAUUUUAGCAACUUAAAAAAAGGAAAUGUGCACACUUAAGAAAUUUUCUUAAUAGGAAUUCCCAAUUAUAAACAGAAAGAAGAAUCCAUAUAUGAUGGAAUCAUCACGAAGGCAUCUAACCUCCCUAUCUACAUCCUCCAAACUGUGUCCCAGCUUCUUCAAAGCUUCUGCAUAAGCUCCUGUAAGAUCUAAAUUACCUAUUGCAUUUAGCAAAGCUCUACCCUGCAAGAAUGGUGAGGUAAGAUGUUUCACAACCUAUACAAAUUUCAUUAGCAGGAAGAAGAAGAAGUAGUUAAAUGGAAAACCUGUAGAAACUCCAUAGAAAGAUAAUAAGCCUGCUUUACAUUAAUUUUCUCAUAGUAUUCAUAAGUAGCAUUCCAGUUUAUAAUAAGUGAAUCUCGAACAGUUUCAGCAGUUGCAUAAAAUGCCUUGGGGAGCUCAAAAUGGUCCGGAGAGAAAGAUGGUGUGAACUCAGCAUGGUAUUUAAUGCUUGAUGCAAUGGAUGCAGAAUCUGGAACAAAGGUAUCUAGAGAAGCUGCAGAUGAAAGCAACCCACCAUGAUCAAGACUAAAUUGGAAAAAGAAAAAGAAAAUCCUCAAAAAUACUAUUUUAGGAAAGAUUUUUACAUUUACAAUACAUUAAUUAUAAAUUUCUUUCCUUAAAAGGGUUCCCUGCCUACUAAUAUAGAGUAGCAAACAAUACCUUGGAUUCAAUCAAACAACUAAAUAUCUACUUGGAAAGCAAGAGUUAUUAAAAGUAAACCAAACCUUCCCCAGUGACUUGAGCUCCUUUGAUGUGCUGCUUUUGGUUGCUAGCAACACUUUUGACAAGGAAAUUCCUCCUUGAGAAAGUAAAACGUGAGUUUCUGGGGAAGAAAAGCUUUGAGUUCCUUGCUGUAUAGUUGAAAUCUAUGAAGGUGGAGUGAUGAGAACAAGUAGCAGAGAAAGGCAGAGACGCCAUUGUUUAUGGUUUCCUUAUUUCGCUCACUAGUCACUACCCCCCUUGAAGAGAGAGCGAUAAAAAGAGAAGAAAAUGAGUGAAAGAGAAAGUGUUGCUUUUUGUCGUCUUAUCUUCGUUUUGGCGCCUUCUCUUCUCCCUUUUAAGUCUCUCCCCCUACUACUGUUCCAUCCAUCUCUCGUUCUCACGUUCUAAACGAUGCAAAAUUUAUAAUCAUACCUAGUUUCUUGCAUCCGUAACCAUUAAUUAUCAUUAAUUAAAAUAUCAUUUAUCACUUUAUAUAUUUACACGAUAAAUUAUACAAUAUUAAUAUAAUUAUAUCAGUAUAUCACGUUACUAUUUAAUAUGAUAUAUUAAUAUAUUAGAAUUUACAUGAUAUAUAUGAUAGUAUAUUAAAAACAGUAUUACAUGAUAUAAAUAAUAAGUGACGUGAUUAUGUUAAUAUAUUGUAUUAUUAUUUAAUAUGAUAUGUUAAUACAUAAAAAUCAAUACUACGUAACAUAAAAGAAACUAUUUUAAUAACAGUACUUAUAAUAAGUUAACAGAGUCAGAUUGUUCUGACAAGAACAAAGAUUGAGUUGGGGGAAGCAAUUGAAGCAUGCACCGUCUGUUGGGAAAAGAGGGCCGUACAAAGGCAAGCAGGAGAAUUUGGUCACAUGGAGCAGUUGGAGCUAGCUUUGUUGUUGUUCGAUGGCCAAAGAGGCGUCCAUGUCCCAAUUGUCAAAUUCCAAUCAAGUGGGGCUUGUCCUAACAUAGAGAUAUUUCCACUUGCAAAAAGUGAUACUUCUGAAGAGAAACUUUCACACAUCUGUCCUUUUUUUUUUCAUUUAAAUUAAUUUUGUUUAGUUUUCUUCUCUUUUUUGUUAAUUUUAUUUUUUUUCUAGAUCGUAAAAAGAUUAAAAAAAUAAAAUGAGAAUAAUAAUGUGAAUUUUUCGAAUAACGAAAAAGUUACCUCUAUGAAUCCAAUAAGAAUUAUAUUCUCAUACUUUACGAGAAUCGCAUUCUUAUGCAAUGAUAAUCAAUGAUGAUAUUUCUAUUUUGAUUCUAGAUCGUCCACCUUUUUCGGGAUGUGAAUUGCCAUUUCCUUUUCAUUUGAUUGAGAAAAUCAACCAAUAAUUAAAGAGUGGAUCAAAUUAUCAUUUAUUAGUGAGAAUAAAUUCUGUUAUUCAAAUCGAAUUGUAACAUUGGUCUUGAUUUUUUUUAUCAUUAUUAAAAAAAAACAAAAACUAUCAUAAUUAACAAAUAGUAAAAAUUUGUAAAAAAAGAAUAUUAUUUUAUUCAAUAUAUAAAUAAUUUGAAUUUGAGGGUUUGACUAUUCAUAAAUAAUACGAAAAUAAUAAAUUAGAAUCAAAUUAAAAAAUGUUAGUACCUCUAUUAAGACUAAUCAUCUUUUUUUUUUCUGACCUACUGUAAUUAAAAAAUUAUCUUAUCUUUUAUCUUUUUAAUGAAAAUAUUUUCUUAAUGCAAAGAUAAUUGAUAUAAUGGUCUUAAAGGGUUGGGCCUGACACGGCCCAAAUCAAAACCCAAUCCCUGUCUCGAGGCUUGGGCUUGGUACGCUACACCAUGUACGAACAGAAUCUAAAAUUAGAAAGGACAGAAAGGAAACAAAACCAAUAUUUUAUACCAAAAAGCGAAAAUGAAACAGAAAUUCAAAUUCCAACGGUUCUCAAGAGGGAGAGCUCCUGCAGUUUUGGAGGUUAUUGCAAAGGUGGCUUGCUCUCCUUUUCCGGGGCGCCUCCCAUCUGUUUGAUCAAAGAGAGAGAGAGGAUUACAAGACAACAAAUAAACUAUAAUCAGAAAUAAAAAGAAACCCUCUCCUUCUCGUACUCUUCCCCAUUUCCUGAUAACUUCCCUUUUGCACACAAACCCAAACUUUGCUCUUCCUUCUUGGGUUUGUGUAUCAAGUUUUACUCUUCAUUUUUGUUCAAUUCGAAGUUUUUCUCAGGUACCCUUCCGUUAAAUUUGCUUGAAUUUGUUGUUUGCUUCUUUAGAAAUUCUUUGAAUGUGAUAUAGUCAAGUUAUGGGUCCUUUCCUCUUUAUUAUUUGAUCGUGUUCCUUUCAGACUUGGAUGGCAUUCCCCAUAGUUAAUCAGCAACUCAUUGUUGUUAAUUUAUUAUCUCAGUUUUCAAUGCCAUGUUUAUUUGCCUCAUUGUGUUAAUGUUAAUUGGAGGUUACAAUCUCUUGUUUCUCAGGUACCAUUUUGUCGAAGAAUUGACUUUCAACGUGUACCUGUGGUUUCCUCUCUUGGAUUUUAGAUUCCUAAACAAGCAAUUUUACACUUGACAAAAUGUUUGGAUUUAUGAGACCUAGGCAGAAGUCAGUGGACCCACCAGCUGCUUCUGGUGGUUCCACCCCAUUUGAUUCUGACACUGAAGAUAACAGGAAUACUACUACACCUGCUAGAAGAGCUGCUUCUGAGCCUGUGCUAUUGGUCCCAGAUUUCAAUGAUGAUGACCAUGGAAGAAGAAAGCAAACUUCAGCAUCCACUAGGCCAUCACCGGCAAGAGAUCGAGAUAGGUACAAGAAUGAUUUCCGCGACUCUGGAGGAUUACAGAACCAGACUAUGGAAGACCUGGAGAACUAUGCUGUUUACAAGGCUGAGGAGACAACAAGCACUGUUAAUAACUGCUUGAAGAUUGCUGAGAAUAUCAGAGAGGAUGCUACGAGGACACUUGAUACUUUGCAUCAACAAGGAGAGCAAAUUGAAAGGACCCACGCCAUGGCUGUUGACAUAGAUAAGGAUUUAAGUAAGGUCAGUUCUAUAGUCUUGUAUUUUGCUGCAAGUUUUGUACACAAGAGUCAGCAUGAAGGGUAGAAGAAGAAUCUGGAGAAUAUAGUUAAAAUAAUGGAAAUUUUUGAACCUUUAAGCCUGUUUGUCAGGAUCAUUUUGGAAAUUGAAAUGACGCAAAGCUCUCUGAUCUGCAUUGAGAUUUUAUCAUGGUCCGGAUGUUAAUCAUUAUUGGCCUCUUUAAUUGCCGUUAUACCAGAUAAAAUUUUUUUUUGAUAUGAUGAAGGAGCAUGUGUAUCUGUUCGUGGUAGGGCUUUAAGUUAAUGAAAUUGUCUGAGACUUAACAUAGAAUUUCUAUGGCUUAAGCAUGUGUUUAUGUACAGGAAAGUGUAUACUUUUGAUGCUUAUAAGCUUAGCUAUUCAUACCUAUAAGGCUGUAGGUAAACAUGUUGCCUUAUAUCUUGGUCGAUGGGUGAUUGAUACCUAUAGUCUUCUGGUAUUUGGAUCAUAUGAUGUUAUUUGAUUCUCUCAUAUGGAAGGGCAGUCGAGCACUAGAUGCAAUCAGACGAUCAAAAGAGCCAGAUUAUUCAUUGAAAAUAACUUGUUAUUGUAGUUUAGAAGUCGACUAGCACUUGAUGUUCUAAGAGCUUUCAUCCUUUUUACACUCAAACCCUCAUUUACAAUUCAUACUGUUGUUUCUUGUGUACUACAUUUCCUGUUAACCAGAUUCUAUAAACUUUGAAAUUUUCAGGGUGAGAAGCUUUUGAAUAGUCUGGGCGGCAUGUUUUCUAAGCCUUGGAAGCCAAAGAAGACCCGAGAUAUUGCAGGGCCUGUAGUCACCUCAGGUUUUCUUCAUCUCACACAACUUCUUCAGUCCCUUCGUGUACUAAUUUAUUCAAACAUUUUCCGUUUAUAUGGAAGUUGUUAACUGAAAUAUGGGAAUGUUUGAAAGGUAAUUAGAAUGAUUGGUUGUUUAUUGCAUUGCUUUUGACAGAUAAGUCAUCCAAGAAAAGUGAAAACCAGAAGGAGCAGAGAGAAAAGUUGGGUCUGGCUCCUGUACCUAAAGCUAAGCCAGGAAGUAAGACGCCUCCUCCUGAACCAACUAAUGCCAUACAGAAAGUUGAGGUUAGUCUCUAUGAUUGUUGAGAUGGGUGUAUACUAAUUUUUUUAGUAAAAAUUCUGCAAUUGGGCUAUAAGAUUAAUUGGUGAUCUAACACCAGCUUGAGAAGGCAAAGCAAGAUGAUGCACUCUCAGAUCUAAGUAACAUCUUGGGUGAUCUCAAGGGCAUGGCUGUGGAGAUGGGAUCUGAACUUGACAGGUCUGUUAUCUCUCUCUCGUAUCAUGUCCAAGUACUAGUAAACUUCUGCACUGCUUUAAUGGUUUUUAAAUGCCUUUUGUAUUGCUUGAAAGUCUGCAUUUCAUGGUGGCCUUUUUCUUGGAGGGUUUCUCAGAAUAAUCAAAAUAGAAAUCUUAGGCAUCUAAGUUGUGAUAAAGCUAGGCAUUUUUCUGACAUUCCAGGGUUCAUGCUUGUGUUUCUUUUGCGUGGUUACCUCACAUACCCAGAACCAGAUUAGGUCUUUCCACCCAUUCUCAGUUACACUCUUAUGUUUUGUGAAAUGAUUUGGUAAAUUGCAGACAAAACAAAGCCCUUGAUCAUCUUCAUGAUGAUGUGGAUGAACUGAACUCUCGAGUGAAAGGUGCCAAUCAGCGAGCACGUAAUUUGCUUGCCAAGUGAAAGGUUACAGAGCUUUACCAAAUUUUGCUUUCCAUGCCUGUAUUUAGCAGUCUUUAACUAACAUUUUCUUUUUUUCUCAUUUUUUCCCUCCUAUUCGACCAAACAUAUGCCAUUCCUAAUUUACUCCAUUGGUUUGAAUGAAAUAACACAAGGUUUUUCUUCAGUCUCCUUCACAUAUAAUCUUCCAUUUUGUAUUUGCAAUCUGUUGGUAGAAACCAAAUUACGCCUCUCUCAUAUUACUUCUGAAAAUUGCAAUUCAGUUAACCACGAACGAAAAGUCAUACAUGUUACAAUGAAGUGAAAUAUGUCAUGGAAUUCUUUAAUUCACAACUAUUGAGGAAAAUGUAUAAUUUCUACCUGAUAUGAGAUUCAGUAUACACAUAAAUAUUUGUCCUUAAUUCGACACGACGCUGAAAAAAUAAUACAUGUUACAAUAAAGUGAAGCAUGUCAUGGAGUGCUUUACUUCAGAACCAUGAGAGAAAUUUUGUAUGAUUACAAAGGUUUAAAGAUGUGAAGUACUUUAAGGCACCGCACGGUGUAUCCCAGCUUCUUAUCCUUGUCAGAAUAGCACGAGAGCAUCAUUGUGAACCACAUAACUAUGUGUCACUGCAAAUAGGUUUGAAAUCUAGAAGCUCACAUCACCACAUCUCCAGCCACUGAAUGACGUUUAGCAAAAUCUCUUCAUGUCUCCUCACUUUUCACGAAAGUCCAGCUCCUUCCUGAGGCAGCUCGUUUCCUAGCAUGUGAAACAAAACCAAAAACAUAGCCCACAAAACCCCCAAGCACCAAGACACUACCACCCCAGACAUAGUGUGAAAAUGAGUACUCCAUCGCCUCAUCCUUAAGGACAGCACCAACUCUACCACUGUCACCAUCACCACCAUUAAGAACUUGUCCAGAUGCUAAAAUCUCAACCAUGUCAUGCACCUCCCCAUCAUGGUUUCCUACGAAAGAAAGUAUAAGCUUCUCUUUUGUAGCAACUAAUCUAGUGUACCCAAACUCACCCGUGCGGUACAAAGACCUCUUGGGUUGUGGGUAGACUGGGUCAUGUGGAUGGUCUGGUCUAGGUUCCCAUGUUGGUUGCCAGUCUUGUCCUGCCAUCCCAAUCACAACAUGGACCGGUAAUGCCUCCCAGCUCUCUCCUUUUAACCCCAUGCUUCCACAUGUGAAGUUCUUCAGUGGACAAAACCUCUCGUAUCGGUGAACAUGGCCCCAUAAAGCAAGGGUCACAUUGUUUUUCACAAACAAAGGUUCCAAGUGCUCAAGCAUUCUCUGCCUCAAUGGGGCAUCUCUACUUUCAUAGCUUGUAGUGUACAUUGGUCUAUGCCCUUGAACUACAACAAAAGGGGUCUUUGUCCGAUCAACUGACUCUAGAUCAUGCUUCAGAAAAUUAUAUUGGCUGCUUCCAGGGAGGAAAUUGGUUUCAGUUGACAUGUACACAAAAUGAACUGUCCCCAUAUCAAAAGAGUAGUAAAGGUUUUGGGUAGCUGGAGCACGGGUUCCAGUUGGUUCUGAAGAGUUGCCAGGCAUAUUAAAUCUAAGGCUAUAAGGCACCCCACAUUCACCACCCCCAUCUGUUCCAUAAAUUGAAUUGGACCACUCAGGUCUCCAAGGCUGUGAAGGCCAAUCAUAUUCAUGAUUACCAAUACACACAUGAUAUGGGACCUUGGAGGCAACAGGCUCAAUUAGGUUGAAAAAUUCAUCCCACAACCAAGAGUAGCCUCUUGCAUAGCUGAUAUCCCCAAUAUGGGAAACAAGAGCAGGCUUGUCACCAAGAGCUUCAAGGUCACGUAGGAUCCACUUCAUGGUUGAUAUGCUUUCAUCUUGUGUACGACUAAAGGUUAAGUAUGGUGUAGCAGUUCCCAUGUCUCCAAAUAGGAAGGCUAGUGUUUCCUUUGAACUCGCAUCCCAUGACACAAAACUGCGGGUUGUGCUCCAACCUUUGGAGUCGCUUCCAACCUAUCACAAAUAACAUAGUUUUUCUUUCUUAGAAGGUGAAAAACAGAGUAAUGCAAGUUAUCAUCUAAAUUAACUGCUAAAGUUGAAUCCAGAGUACACCAUGACUUCAAGGAAAAGGAUGGUUUUUCAUUUUUGCUUAGUCCUAACAAGUAACAAGAAUACAAUAUAAUAGAAAUUAACAAGAUAAAUAUACAAUUUUCGUUUCACAUAGACAGAUGAAUCAACUUGAAUGGAUAAUUUUAUGCAACUGUCAAAGAAAAUUAUAGCCAACCACUUUUAGGCUGAGCAGUAACUAGCCACUUACUGAAAUCAUUGGUUCAAAGUUCAAAUCUAGGCAACCCAACCCUACUCCUUCCUCAUGAUCAAAAGUAAAGGCUUAUCUAAGCUACUAAAGGGCGAAGAAAUGGAAAGAAAGCAAUUUCAUGGUAAUGCUACAAAACAAUGUAGCUCAACAGUAGGAGCUCAGCAUUUUCCCACAACCAUAUCAAACAAUAUAUUUAGCUAUUGAAAAUGAACUUUUUUGUUAGUUAGAACACAAUCUAGUAGAACAUUUCCAAAUUUAGCAACAAAUAUGCCUGCUUUGUUAUUUCCAAAUGUAAAAGCCAUGAUUAUCAAUGCUAUAAUCAAGUAGAAAAAUAUGGUAACUGAGCAAAACCAGAUUAUACCAUGAUAUUAAUCUAAAAACAGCAUUGACAAUCCUUUAAUCUCAAAAAUAAUUAAAUUUUACCUGAUAAUAAUAUUUGAUUCCACCCUUUAAACCCGACAUGACAGCAUCAAAUAUCCAACCAGGAUCCCUCCACCCAACGCUCUCAUUGGCUGGUGCAUGACACAUGUCUUCCCUCUCAUACCUUCCCGCACGUGCCACCGCCACGUCACCUUCCCACUCUCCUUCCUUCUCCCCAUACCUCACGUGCCUCUCCUCCGAAUCCUCCGCAACGAACAUCACCCGCAUCUCCCCUUCCCGACCCGUCCACGCCAAGUGGAUCUGCUCCGGCCCUCGACCCGACUCGAACCCCACCCUUUCCGAUUCGGCCAACAGAUGAUCCGUGCCCGGGAGGGGAUUAUGAUCCUGAUCGUGACGGUCCGGGUUGACCUCGGAUUCGGACCAUCGGAAGAUUCGGAAGGAGUAGUUGGAGCGGAGGGAGGUGAGGGGUAGAGAAAUGGAGCCCGACCCAGAUUCCCAAGUGGGGGAAGAGGAAAGGAACUUGUAACCGAUAAAAUUGUCGUGCGAUGAAUCGGGGGGCGAGUAGAGGCCGAGCCAGUCGAGUUUGGAAGGCGAGUCGAUGCCAGACCAUUGUAUGAGAACAUGGUCGCCGGAUUUGGACAGGGUUUUGGGGGAGACAGUGAGGAUGGGUUUGGAUUGGGUUUGGGAGAGAAGCGAGAGGAGGAAGAACAAGAGCAGGACCAUGGCGGACAGUGGAUGAGAAACGAUGAGGAUUGCUGGAAGAAAAGAGACCGGCUGAAAGCAUGGGCUUUGAAUAGUGUUAAAGAUAAAGCAUACAGUAUUGUUUUGGGGAGAAUAUUCUAAUGUUUGGAUAUUUGCGUGGCAUUUUUGCAAUAAUAUUGUGAGUCUUGUAUAAGAUGUAGACUGCCGAGUUAUCCAUACUUUUUUAUUUCAUCAAUUUUACCUUAUUCUCCCAAAAUAAUAUGCAGUAAGAUAGAAAAUAUUUUUAAAUGUUAUCAAUUUACUAGCAUAAGAAACCAGUAUACAAUAAUAAUGAAUCGAAAUCAAAGUGCCACAAAUGAAAUGAUUAAUGAAAAUUGAGAUGGGAACUAGGUUGAUUUUUCAAAAGUAUUUACUUCUCGUGUUAUUUUAUCGAGAAUAGUUGUUAAGUAUUUUGUAUAAGUAAAAGAUAAGAAAGAGGUUGGAGUUCUAACUAAAAUUCUUUCGCUUAAUAAAUACGUUAUUUGAAUUGGAAGUGUGAGCAUGUGACAAUUGGUAUAAGAUUUUUUCAACUUUCAUUGUGAGAUUUCUUAUAAAAGAUAUUAAAAUCGAAGUAAGUUAAGAUUAAGAUAAGUUUUCAAUGUAAUAAUGAGCGUUGUAUAAUUAAAUGAAAUAAAAUGUCACGGAUCUUAUAAUACUAAGAGAUGGGACGAAUUUUAAACUCAUAAAUAAAGUCUUUCUCAAUUGAAUAUAUAUAAUUUUUGAACUAAAACUGUUGAUACAUGACAUUGUCACCCACUAAAUCUUAGUAGAAAACAAUUUAGAAGUUACAAUUUCAAAUAAAGAUGAUGUUGUUUUCAUUGGCUACUUUCAAUGGUAGAUUUAGCUUUGGUUCGGGUUCAUUUUUUUUUCUAAGGCAGUGAUACAUAUAAGGUAAGGUAGAUAUUAAAAAGUCACUUAGUCUCUGUAACGACCCAAGUCUAACUACUGACUCAGCAGCUUUUUGGGCCUAAACUACGUGACACUCAAAAGUUCAAGCUCAAGUUGCUAGUAGUGGUGGGCUUGGAUUGUUAUAUAGGUCUUAACAAUCACAUUCAUAUCAGAUGUGGGAUGUUGGGUAUUACAAUCUCAUCCACUCAAAUCCUUGAUGUCCUCAUCAAGGCCACACAUUACAUCCACAGGACCAAGAUCUCAUCAGAGCAAUGUGAAAGCUCACAUCAUAAAGACUCACAUUAGAUUGGCGUAAACUUUGAGUCUAAACCACGUGGCCCUCAAAAGCUUAAGUUCAAAUUUCUAGUAGUUGUGGACUUUGAUUCUUAAAUAAGUCUUAAAUAAGUCUUAACAAUCACAUUCACAUCAGAUGUGAGAUGUUGGAUAUCAUAAUCUCAUCCACUCAAAUCAUUGAUGUCUUCAUCAAGGUUACACAUCACAUCCACGGGAUCAAGAUCUCACCAGAGUAAUGUGAAAGUUCACAUCGGACUGGUGCAGACUCUGAUACCAUUUGUAACGACCCAAGUCCAACCACUGGUCCAGCAGCUUUUUGGGCCUAAACCACGUGACCCUCAAAAGCUCAAGUUCAAGUUGCUAGUAGUGGUGGGUUUAGAUUGUUAUAUAGGUAUUAACAAUCACAUUCACAUCAGAUAUGGGAUGUUGGAUAUUACAGUCUCUCUACAUGUAUGAGAGAUAAUUUUUUGUAAAUAAUGAGUGAUAAUAUUAGAAGGAGACUAAAUAGUGCUUAGCAAAAAAACAAAUUAAAGAUUGAAACUUUAAGGCAAAAGUAUCGAAAAUAGAUUAAAUAAAGUAUAAAAGAAUUGCAAGAUAGAGAAAGUUUACCAAUUUAUAAUGAUUUGGUCUUCAUCUAAAUUAGGCCUACUACCUCUUCACAAGUAAAUUACUUGUUUAAGCUUAAAGUAAAACGAAGUUAGAUCUUAUAAUUUACUUUUAGCUUGGUAAUUUACUUGUUUUUCCAAUUGUCAUUAUGAUUAUUAUUAUUAUUAUUAAGGUAAAAUAUUUUUACUUUUUUAAAUUUUGAUUGAAAUUAUAUGAAAGUUCAUUAGUUUUUACUCCAUCCAAAAAAAUAUUUUCUGCUUGACACUUAGGUGUAGCCGUUAGUUAACCGUUAAUGUUUCCAUCAAUUUGAUGACGUAGUAAUAGUAAAAAGAUAAUUUUAGCAUUAAUUAAUUUUUAAAAUUACUAUUGUAUAAUUUUAUUAAUUAAAGAAAAAUCUUUUCAAAAAAAAUUAAUUAAAGAAAAAAAAACCUCACUAAAUGGGGAGCACCGAAGCUCCCCUAGGGAGGCCCAUGCUCCCUUAAGAAGCCUUGAUCGGGCUCCCCUCCCUUGGGAGCUCUGGUUGGUAGGGAUGGCAAUGAGAUUCUAUUAUAAGGUACCCGAGGAUAUCCGACCUGAUUAUAUAAGAUUAGAGUAUCCUAUAACCGGGUUUGGGAAGGGUUUGGAUACCACCCCUUGGUUACUCGUUAUCCAAAUCCGAUUACCAUUUAUAAAUAUUUUAUUAUUAUUUUAAUAAUUAAAUUAAAAAUAUAUAAUUUUUACUAAGUUUACAAGCAAUUCUUUUUAUUAAAAACUAACAAACAUAUCAAAAAUAUGGUUACUAUGAUGACAUUAAUAUAUUUAAAUUAAAAAUUGUUAAAUUAUUAAUCAUGUUUAAAUAAUAUGAAUAAAAUAUCAUAUUAUAAAAGAAUAUAAUUAUAUAUAUAUAUAUAUAUAUAUAUGUAUACACUUUUAACAUAAAUAUAUUUACUUUCUGUUUUAUGUUUUAACAUUACAAAAAUUAUGACUUAUAAAAUUAUUAAUUAUAAUAUAUAUACUUUUGUUUAUAUAAACUUAUAAUAUAUAAAUCUAAAGGGAAGUUGUGAGAUUAGAAUAGUUUGGAAACUUAGUUAUUUUUUUUAAUUUAUUGUAAUUAAGGACAAACCUAUAUAGUUAAUUAAAUUAAUUAAUGAAACUAUGAUUAUUAAUUGACUUGUAAUGUCUUUUAAUAUAUAUACUUUAUAUAUAUUGGGUUCAUUUAUAAGAAAUAUAAUUAUUAUUAUAUAUAUUAAAAUACUUUUAGUAUAUAUAUACAUUUUAAAUAUAAAUAUAUUUACCUUAUAUUUUGUGUUAACAUUACAAAAACUAUAACUAAUAAAUUUAUUAAUUAUGUUAUAGAUAUUUGUUUUUGAUUAUUUAUAUUUAAAUUUUAUUAUUUGUGUGUUUGAAUUAAUUUAAUUAUUAGUAAAUUAUAUGGAAUAUAUAAGAGAAAUAUUAUUGUAUAUGGAUACGGAUUUAGAUUCGGGUAAUUGGGUAUCCAUGACUAGUAUUUUAAUAAUUUUUUUAUAUAAUCGAGUUUUUAAACAGAUUAGAGUAAUUAUCGAGUUGUGGGGAUGUAUUAGGGUUAAGGUUAAGGUAGUAAUUUUAAAAAUAUUCAAGCAUUUAAUAGGGUUUUGAUAGUUUAUUUUUAUAGGGUUCAGGUUCGGGUAGCUCAAAAUUAACAAGUACCCUACCCGUUGACAUCCCUACCGAUCAGUGCUCCCUUUUUUUUGGAGAGUCAGUGCUUUUUUUAAUUUUUUUUUUAAAAAUAUAAUAAUAAAUUUUAAAAUUAAUAAAAAAAUAUUUUAAUUUUUUUAAACUUUUGUUAACGGUGUAGGCAUUUUUUGGACAAAUUGUUUAUUUCAAAAAUUGAUAAAUUCGUUCGGAAUUUCGAUUAAAACUUAAGGAGGACAUUUUAUCCUUAUUAUUAUUAUUAUGCAUCAAAUAUUUCCAGUUAAAUUACUGUUAGUUCCAGCAGACUGAUCAAACAUCCUAACAGUUCUGCCAUCAAACUUACCCAAAUGUUCAUAUGGGGGAGUAGAAAGAUAAAACUGGGGGAGGGGUUUGCAGAAGGAUAUAUGAAAAGACAGGAGUGGACAAUGAAUGAAAAGUUCAGACCCUGUUUGCGCCAUGUUUCUUCGUCCAACCCAUUGAUUUCAAUUAACAUUUAUUACUUUGUUUGCUCGAACGACUAAUUAACAUAGCGGGUGUACCUCCCACCCCAAUUUAUCUCUGCAGCACCAAAGACCUCGGAUAUUGUCAGCACCAGGCUUGAACGUGGAGUUAAAACUAUCAGGGAACUCAACAUGAUUCAUCAAUGUCAUACAAAAACCUGUCUGAUAGUUUACUGUUUUACAGGGUUUCUAGAAUGAGGGGGGGGAGUGGAGGGUAAAAACAUGGAGAAAAGGACUUGGCCACAGCUUGGUACCAGUUAAGGACUUUGCAAGGGUUGAAUAAGUUAGUAGAUUCACAGGGGGGUUCAGAAAUUGUGCGGUAUCUCAGUUUGGGUAACCGUACACAUACAAGAAUACGUGACUAAUUUGAUGAGAAAUAAUGAAAUUUGCCCCCACUCCCCUCCCCUCCCCUCCCCUCCCUCCCUUAUCUAGCUUGUUUUCCCUGGUCAAUUAUAUCUUUUCAUGUGCGUCUUGCUUUGCAUUAAAGCCCUCCCUCCCAUCACCAUCUUUCCUUCUCUCAUCUCACUUCCCCUGUCGACAAUCAGGUUUUAUCUCUCUUCCGGCCUCCCAUUCCCAUAUCUCACGAAACCGAAGAAGGAAAACAACAAGAACCAACGCCGCCCCGAUGACUUGUUACCGCCUUUUGAUCUUUAUAUUUCUCCUCCUCCUCCUCCUCAAACCCUGCACCCCAACUUUGCCGCGGACCUCUCCAAGAAACCGCUUGAACCACCAGGUCCACCGCCACAAGGCCGCCAACUACUACCGUUCUUGUGAUUCUUUCUCCCGUACACAGCAACGGUCUCUUUGUUUUCAGCUUCAAAGAAUCCACAAAAUCCAGCCUAAUUUCUUGCCAUCAUCAUUUCCGCAGCCAAUACCACCACCGCCACCAUCCGAACUCAAUGAAAUCGAUCCAAGAUACGGUGUGGAGAAGAGACUUGUCCCCUCAGGGCCCAACCCUCUUCACAACUGAUCCUAGCUCCACUCAUCAUCCCUCUCAUUCACCACCGCUUUGUCCAUACACCAUCUUUUCUACCUAGUAACCUAUAUUCUCCCCAAGAUUUUGCCUUUCUUUGCAAUUCUUGUUGCCUUUCCUGCAUGGAGCUUCACACGCAGCUGCCCUUUUUUUUUUCAUUCUCAUUUCCUCCAUUGGAUAGCGAUGGGAAAACAGAAGAUGUCAAUUCAGCGGCAGCCAGCAGUUAUUGCCAAGGAAAAGAACCCAGGCGGCGGCGCCUAGGCUGCUGUGAUCGAUGCUCAGAUUUAGUAAUAUUAUUAGACAUUAGCUAAUUUCUUGUUCUGUCUUUCACUGUUCUCGUUACAAGACGAUUGCCAUUUCCAUACUUGUUUUUGGAUUUCUAUCCUAUAUAUUUUGGGGGGACCAAGGCAGCAAAAACAAGCAAGGAAAUGGCGUACCGUUGCUUUUGUUUUAGUUAGUAUAUGGUUCAAAUGAAGGGGAAGGAUCGAAGGAUAGGGGGGGAGUUGGGAUUCAAGAGAAACCCAUGAGUUUCAUUAAUGGACCUUGGAACUACGAAGGAGAUAAUAUUGGUAGCCGUCGGACAAGAUGACCUCUCUUUUUGUGGAGUAUAGCUUUGGUAAUAAAUACCUUGAUGCUGUCAUGUGUUUGUAUAACUUGCUUCAAUCUAUUACUUAUAUCUAUGCUUUUUAAUUUUGCUUGCUAGGGGUUUAAUUAUAUACAUUUUUCUUGUGAAUAUUUGUCUUUUCAUUUUCUUUUUUCAUUCUUCUUGGUUGAAUUAGCUAUAUAUCUAAUUAAAUAUUAUAUUUUUUAAAUAAAUUUCAUCUAUUCUUCCCGUGGUUUUAAUUUUUUUUGUUUUCUUUAAAUUGAAAAUUCUCGUGGUUUCAAUUUUUUUCAUAUAACAUUUUAUUAUUUUUUUUCUGAUUAGCAUAUCGUGGAUAAUUUAUAUUUAAGUUGUUAAUUUUACCUAAUAAAAUUAUAAAAUACUCUUUUAAAUGUGAACAAACAAGUUAAUUUUGAAUUAAAAUAUUUUAAUAAUUUUAUUAAAUAAAAUUAACCAUUUACCUUUCGUGAAAUCAGAAAUUAUUCCCAAAAUAUUAAUCGAGAAAAAAAAUGAUAUUCACAUGUUGGUAAUUAUAAAAAAAAACCACAAGGUAUUAUAUAAAAAAAAAUUUGACAUGCCGAACAAUCUUCUAAUCUUACACUCUUUAAAUUGGUAAGGCUUUUUAUCAAUUCAGUUACUUAACCAAGCAAUUUUAGGAAUUAGGCCUUUUACUAUAAGUAGGCUGAAUUGAUUUAUUAGGCUGGGGGUAAUGGCUAGAAAAAGUUUCAUUAAGAAAAAUUUAUGAAUUAAUUAAAGAAUUAUUGUACUACUUUCUUCUAACACGCAAAUUAAUUAGAGAAUCAAUUAAUGUAAUUAAGAAAAUUAUCUUAGUAAUUUUAAUUUUCAUCUUUUAUUAAACAAAAUAUAUGAAACACUAUAAAAAAAGAGAAAAAAUAAAUGUGGAAAGCAAGUGUUUUUUCCAUUUCCAAAUAGCCAUGUACUUAAUGCAGUACCGAGAAUUUUGGUACAAAGAAAAAAAAUAGUUAAAGUUCAUAAUUUAAUGUUAAAAACAAUAAAAAUAACUGAUAUAAAAAUUAAAAAAAUUAAAAUAAAUUAAUUAGAAUAUAACAUCAAUUCUUAUAUAACUAUUUUAUAUAAAAGUAAAUUUAUGUAUUUAAUGUUUCAAAACAAAUUACAUUCUAUAAACUUGAUUCUUUUUUAUAUUAGAAAAUAAGAGGAAGCAUGCAACAAUAUUUACUAAAUCGAACAUCCAAGUGCUUUAAAUUCUUAAAUAUGAUUAAAAAAGUUAAAAAUUUUAAUUAAAAAUAAAAUAUAAAUUGUUUUUAGAUAAAAUUUUUAUGUAUUAAAAGAAAUAUUAAUGUAUAAUAGAGAGUGAACAAAACCGCGCCACAUGGGAUCCGACCGAACUGCCGACGUUGAAAACUAUGUAAGACCGGGCCCACAGUUCGUCUUCUCAACCAAUCAGAAAAAAGAAAAUUUAAAAUAAAAAAAAGAAGGAAGUAGCAUGCUUUCCAUUUCCGCGUCUUCCCCGAACGAACUCAAAUCCAUACUGUCUCCCACCUUCAGCAAUCCGUGAAGAAACUCGGAUUUCCAAUUAUUCAGAACUUUCCUUUGAAUUCUUUAACUAUGGUUUCCCUCUUCAAUCUCCAAUUCCCGUAAAAAGAAGGGAAAAACAAUGGCGCGUUUAUUGCCCCUGUUCUUCAUUUUCUCUCUGUUCUUCAGCCUCUCUUCUUCCAAAACUCUCAAACGCGACGGUGAUAUCCCUGAUUUCCUUGAUUAGGAUUCUUUUUCUUCUUUGUUUUAUUGAUUUUUUUUUUGUUUUGGGAUUUUGGCAGUUAAAGCAUUGAACGAAAUUAAGGCGUCGUUGGGGUGGAGAGUGGUGUACGCUUGGGUCGGUGACGAUCCUUGCGGUGACGGAAACCUGCCGCCUUGGUCUGGCGUCACAUGCUCCCUCCAGGGUGACUAUAGAGUCGUCACCGAACUGUAAUUUUCCUCACUUGGUUUUCAAAUUUAAUUACAUUUAUUUGUUUUUCUUAUCAUUUUAUUUAUUUUUUGUUCGUUUAAUUUUGCAGGGAAGUUUAUGCAGUGUCGAUCGUCGGGCCAUUUCCCAUUGCGGUGACGAAUUUGCUGGAUCUUACACGACUGUACGGUUAAUCUUUUAGCUGAUCAUUAAAUUUGUAUUUUCAAUAAAUAAUCUCUUUGUUUAUUGCAUAUCGCAGUGAUCUGCAUAAUAACAAGCUGACCGGACCGAUCCCGCCUCAAAUCGGACGGCUCAAACGUCUUAAAAUACUGUAUGUUCCCCUUAUUUUCUCUUAAAAUUAUGUGCGUUCUUCAGCUUCAUAGCUGGAAUCUGAGAUUUUGGAAUGAUGGGUACUUUUUGUUAGGCUUUUUGAACCUUGAUUUGAUGUCAUUCCUUUGCUUUUCUGUUUGUUUGGUUUAGUAAUUUGAGGUGGAAUAAGCUACAAGAUGUACUUCCUGCUGAAAUUGGUGAACUUAAGAGUCUAACACAUCUGUAAGUAGUACCUGCUUCAUUAGUUAGACUGUUGUUCUUUUUUCUUUUUUGAUUUCAUACUUGUAUGGAAUUUGUUUGUAGGUAUCUGAGCUUCAAUAGUUUGAAAGGGGAAAUCCCCAAGGAGCUUGCAACUCUACCGGAACUUCGCUAUCUAUAUCUACAUCAGAACCGUUUUUCAGGGCGUAUUCCAGCAGAGCUAGGCACCUUGCAGAAACUUCAGCACUUGUAAGAUUACUUAUCUCCAUCAAUGCAUGAUCAUAUCCGUUGAAUUUUUAGGACAGACAUCCGAUCUAAACAUGCCAUGUUUUUGUAGGGAUGUUGGGAACAAUCAUUUGGUAGGUACUAUAAGACAACUCAUACGCAUUGAUGGUUGCUUCCCAUCACUUCGGAACCUGUAAGUUAAUUUCAGUUGAUUCUUGGUUUUUUUUUUUUUUCAAACCCUGGGUUAUAUUGAAUGAAUGGCUUGUCGCAGUAACUUUUGUUUGAAACUUUUUGGCAUGUAGUUACCUGAACGAUAAUUACUUAACGGGAGGAGUUCCAGCAGAGUUAGCAAGCCUGACAAACUUGGAAAUCUUGUAAGUAAUAGCGGUUUAACCUUUGGGGAUAUGUUAAAGAGUGCUCCGGUCUUAACUCUGAUUUAUCAAUUGUUGUAUGGGUUACAGGUACCUAUCCAACAACAAACUGUCUGGAGUAAUACCAUCUGAAGUUGCUCAUCUCCCUAGGUUGACUUCUUUGUAAGUUUCUUGUUUGAUGUUUGUGAUACUUUGUAUUUCUUCUGGAUCUGUCUCAGGUUUUUUAGUUUCAAUUUUACAUGAAUCGAGCUGCCUGGAUUUUAGUCUAUGUGACUCAAAUAGACUCUUCGUUAAAAGCUUGGAGCAUCAACAUCUGAAUUGAUGCCUCUUUGUCACUGGGUUUGCCUUAUCUUCCAGCUUUCUGAGCUAAUUUUGCAUUUUGCUGUCAUGUUUGCUGGUUGGAUCUAAGUGGCAUGCUUGCUUCUUUCUUCAAUUAAGAAAAUUAGGACAGACUACAGCAAUCUAUUCUAUAUGCAUGUAUCUGGAGUCUUGUACACAAAAAUGCAUGUAGGUUUAUGAAUUUGUCUCCGUACAUGUUCUUAUAUUUGAUCUUAUUUGAACUGCAGGUAUUUAGAUCACAAUCAGUUUGCAGGAAGAAUUCCUGAAGCACUCUACAAACAUCCCUUCUUGAAAGAAAUGCAAGUUCUCUUCAGCACUCUUGUUCCUGCAAACUUACAACUCUUAUAACGUCUGUUAAUUGACAAUUUAUUGUACUUUCUUUACAGGUACAUCAAAGGAAAUUCAUUCCGGGCAGGAGUAAACCCAAUCGGUGUCCACACCGUCCUGGAACUUACUGACUCGGAGUUCCUAGUUUAGUCAAAAACAGCAAUAUAGUAUUCUUUAUUGUUAUAUCAUUUUUGGGAAAUUGUGAUCAUGUUUGCCUUGACGUUGGUUUAUCUAGUUCUCUGGCAAUGGAAAUCUUAAUGUUUACCCACUGAAGGAAACUGAUAGAAGAAGCAGGUCAAGGUUUUGAUUGGUUAAGAGUAUACCUUCAUUGUUUUCUUUUGAUUCUGGGGUAAAACAAGAUAUCUUAGCUUCUGCCAUAAAAGAGACAUUUUAUCAUUUGCCCAAGACAAGGAAUAGCACUGUCAACACAAUAAAGUGACAGUGAAGGGUAUGCUGGUAGUUACGGGGGAGUGUCUGAACUUGUCCUAUAAUAAAAAAAAGCGGGCCAAAAUCACCAAAGAUGAACUGAGAAGAAGCUUUCAGACAACAAGCUAAACGCAUGUUUAGGCCUUUGACAUAGAGCAGAUCUGAGGUGCAUGAUUACACAAUUCAAAAUGACAAGAUCUGAUAAAAAAAUGAAAAGUAGCAUUAUAGGUGACAUUGACAUGGAUAUCACUAUACCAGCUAUAAGCAUAUACCUUUGGAGUCAGCUGCGUGAACACUGAAUUUUUACCUCAAUUUGGCUAACAGGGUAGGAAUGUAGUGGUGCACAUAGGAACUAUUAACUUGGGGGAAAGGAGUAUAUUGGCAUGCCUGGUGCAAUCAGCACAUGGAAAGUCAGAUUGAGAUGGCUUUCUCUUCACCAGAUAAGAGGAUCUCCAAGCAUUUAUCAUCUUUUUUUCUGUAAAAUUGUUGAGCCCCUCCUUACCGUCCAUUACAUUUGAUGUGUUGUCCACAAACCACCAUUUAACUAUGUGAAACUCCUAUAAAAUAGUGACUCUUAACUGACAACAUCCACUUUGGGUCCAUAAAAAUCUGGAGAACUGUCUGUAUAGAUUCGUUCACAGAUGCAGGUCUAUAGACUCUUCAUUCAACACCAACAUUUGGCUGAAGGUAUACCAAAAACAACCAAAAAACUAAGCUGUUGCUGGUGCUUCAUUCGUUACAUGGUAUGCGCAACAGUAACUGGUGCUGCAACGGAUAAGGGCUCAAACAGUCAGCCAUACUGACUAAAUAUAUAUUGUCCUGUAAUCCAUUUGCUUUUCUAACUUUUCCAAUAUCAAGUGUAUGUCUUCCAUUUGUGGGUGGCUUUUCUCCCCAGCAAUAAACUCAUGAACUACUCCAUUGAUCUUGACAGAGCUGCAACCUGGUACCUUAUUCACACCUCGGUUUUUCAUCAUCUGUUUUAUUAUUUUGGCGUCAUAAUAUUUUCCCAAGGCUGCAUAGAGAUUUGAGAGCAAAACAUACACCCCACUAUGAUCUUCAAGUUGCAUGAGCUUCUCAGCUGCAACCUCAGCCAGUUUGGUUUGUCCAUUACUACAGCAGGAACUCAGCAAUGCUCUCCAGGCAAUGGCUUCAUCAGAGGGAUUGCUCGAAUCAGGCAUUCUUUGAAUUAUUUUAUUUGCUUCUUCGAAGAGCCCACCUCGGCUAAGUAGGUCAAUUAUACACCCAAAAUGUUCACUUUUAGGCUCAAUGUUGUACACCUUACACAUUCUAUCCAGUAUCGUUAGACCUUCAAAUGCCAUGCCAGAAUAACUACAAGCACUAAAAACAGCAAUGAAAGUAAUGUCAUCAGGCCUCACUCCAUCCUUCUCCAUUUGCCAAAACAGUUCAAGUGCACUUUCUCCAUCUCCAUGCAUCGCCAUCCCAGAAAUCAUGGCAUUCCAGCUUACAACAUCUCUUUGCUGCAUUCCAUCAAACAACUUUUCAGCUAUAUCCAAAUUCCCACAUUUUGCAUACAUAUCUAGAAGACAAGUACUCAAACGAAGGCUCAAUGGAAAUUUUUGUUUAUCCAGAUACUUAUGAAUCCAAAUUCCGGUAUCUAAUGCACCUAAAUGAGCACAGGCGCAAAGAACACUCACAUAUAUAGCCUCAUCAGGCUCUAUGUCACUCAUCUGCAUUAGCCUGAACAUAUAAAGACCCUCUUUAAAACAAUUAUUUUUUACAUAUCCAGAAAUCAUAGCACCCCAAAUUCCUGCAUCCUUCACAGAAGCCUCAUCAAAAAGCAAUCUUGCAGUGUCAAUAUCACCUAUUUUCCCAUACCCAGAAAUCAUAACUGUCCAUGAAACAAAAUCUGGCCACGGAAUCUCAUCAAAAAUGUACCUUGCUACUUUCACAUUAUCAAAUCCACAGAACAUAGCAAUCAAAGCAUUACCCACAAAAAUGUCAAACACAAAACCCAAUUUCAAGCAAUGACCAUAAACCAAUUCCCCAAAGUAAAAAUAUUGCAACUUUGCACAAGCUUUCAACACAUAAGGCAGAGUAUAAUUAUCAGGGUGCAUGCCCUUAUCCAACAUGUUAUUGUAAAGUUGGGUGGUUUUAAAGAUUUCACCUUUGAGAAACAAAGCUUUGAUCAUGGUGUUGCAGAUACAAAUUGUGGGGUUUUCAAUGCGUUGGAAGAGGUUGCAAGCAUAGGUAAGGCUGCCACGAUUUGGGUUUGCGCAGAAAGCUAGAAGCCUGCUUAAAGCAAAGCUGUUGGUGCCAAGACCACACGUGAUUGCGUGUGCAUGAGCUUGCCUUAGUUGGUUCAUGUUCUUGCAUCUCUCCAAUAGUUUUAGGCAUCUCCUGCUACUGCUUGACAUGAGUUUGACGACCACCUCCCUUUGCCCGCUAGAAAAAAAUGGUAACCAUCAGCUGGGGCUUCUUCUCUGCACAGCGUUUGUCUCAUCAUUUGUUCGCCACCGUCGACAGCUUUCGUAGCUCAGUUGGUUAGAGCACCCGUUUAGUAAGCGGGAGGUCUUGAGUUCGACUCUCAACGAAAGCAACGUAACUUUAUUUUUCUCUGCUUGCCUGCAUUAUCUGCCUUUCUUCUUCCCGGAUUCUGGCCGAAGCCUGAUGAGAAUUUAAAUUAGAAAGAAAUCAUCUUCGCAAUUUAUGUGCAAUAUUUCUCCAUCCUAUUAAUAAAUAUAAUUUUUAAAAUUUUUUUAUUUUAAAUGUAUAUACAUUAUUUAUAAUUAAUUUUAAAAAAAAUUAUAUUUUAUAAUACGAUAUCCAUAUUUAAAAUUAAAAUUUCGAUCCACGAUUAGUACUUCAACUUAACAAUAUCCUACAGCAGCAGCUUUUUCUUUCUUUUGUUCUCCUUGGGUUUGCCAUAUAAGAGUCCUAAACUAAUACUAAAACCAAAGUGAUAAGCAUUAGUUCAAUUUGACUUGCCAUGAAACACUCAAGUUCAUAGAUUCACAGAGAUUCUGAUUUUUCAUUGUCACAUAAAUAUACAGUUCCAUUCGACUUGAUAUGAAACAGUCAGUUUAAUAGAUUCACUAGAUCAUAAUUUCUUCAUUGUUAUCAAUUUUUAACGGACUCUUACCAUAUACAUAUAUAAAUCCUACCAUAUCCACUAACAUUACUUGUAUUAGUUUUUCAGAUCCCCCUCCUCCUGUUAGUUUUUCAGAUUUUGUGAUGAUGAUGGGUUUCAAAGGUUUAAUUUGUUUCAUCAUCCUUCUUUCAUGUCUGUCGUUCUCAUCGGCAGAAGACGUGAAAGUUUCCAUCAGAGGAGCAACUACAAUCGCUAGAACAGAUGAUAACUUCGUCUGUGCUACGUUAGACUGGUGGCCAACAGAAAAGUGCAACUAUAAUCAAUGUCCCUGGGGAAAAGCUGGACUUUUCAAUCUGGUAAAUUUAUUUAUUUAUUUAUAUAUAUAUAUAUUUAUAUUUGAGUAUGUGUAAAUUAUAUUAUUGUAGUUAGAAAUCUAUAACCUUUUCCUAUGAUAUUAUGUCUGUUUGCAGGAUUUGGAAAACAAGAUUCUAGCAAGUGCAAUAAAGGGUGAGUUUUAAAUUGCUGGUUUUCAUUGUUGAUGAGAAAUAGUGUUUUUUAGACUAACUGUGGUGAAAACUACUUCCAGCAUUCAAUCCUUUGAGGGUCAGAAUCGGUGGUUCAUUGCAAGAUCAAGUGGUGUACAAAGUGGGAAACGUUAAGAAGUGCACUCAGUUCAAGAAAGUCGAGGGUGGUUUAUUUGGAUUCUCCGAAGGGUGCCUACCCAUGGAAAGAUGGGACGAGCUCAAUAACUUGUUCAACCGAACAGGGUAUACUAAUUUUUUUAUUUAUACUAAUUUAUUUUUGUUAAGGUUGAGAUCAAUAACUAAGUAUCUUUAUUAAUCUCAAUUAUAUUGCAGAGCAAAGAUUACAUUCGGGUUGAAUGCUCUUUUGGGGAGAAAUGAGUCCAAAACUGACAAGGGUCUUUGGGUUGGUGAUUGGCGUGUGGACAAUUCCAGGGAUCUGAUGAAGUAUAAUAUUGAGAAAGGAUACAAAAUCGAUUCAUAUGAAUUUGGUAACUAAGAUUGAUUACUACCUGAAGCUUUAUAUACCCUUUUUUUGGUUCAAAUUUUGAUCAGUAAAUUUUGUCAGGGAAUGAACUCUGCGGGUCUGGGGUAUCUGCAAGGGUUGAGGCUAAGCAGUAUGGUAAGGAUGUUAUAGCACUAAAGAAUCUAGUAAGAGAGUUGUACCCAGAUCCCAAGACUCAACCCAAGAUCUUAGGUCCUGGUGGAUUUUAUGAAGAGGAAUGGUUUAAGACCUUCCUGAAAGUCACAGGACAAGAUGUUCUGGAUGGAACCACACACCAUAUCUACAAUCUUGGACCUGGUAUACAUACUGCACUAAUUCAUUCAUGUUUCUAUAUAUAUACAUAUAUAUAUAUAUAUAUAUAUAUAUAUAUAUAUAUUUAUGUAUGUAUUGUUUAUUUCCUUGAUUUGAAUGAUGCAUGCAGGUAAUGAUCCAAGUCUGAUUACAAAGAUUCAAGAUCCAUUUUACCUGAGUCAAAUUGCUCAGACAUUCAAAGAUGUUGCAAAGAUCGUCGAGAAGUUUGCACCCUGGUCAGAAGCUUGGGUUUCAGAAUCAGGUGGUGCUUAUAACAGUGGUGGCAAAGAUGUGUCCCGUACCUUUGCCAAUGGCUUUUGGUGGGUUCCCUUUUGUUUCUCUUAGCCAUUAAAUUUUCUUCGUCUUGCAGAUUAAACAGUUUGCUGAUGAUUCACUUUUCAAAUCUAAAACAGGUAUCUAGACCAGCUGGGUAUGACAUCAAAGUUCAAUCACAAGGUUUAUUGCAGACAAGCUUUGAUUGGUGGCAAUUAUGCUCUCCUGAACACUACAACAUUCGUUCCAAAUCCUGAUUACUAUGGGUCAGUAUCCUGAAGAUUUCCAUAGCUAUUUUCAUUCUUUUUUUUUUUUUGCUAAGUUUAGUUGCAUUAGCCUUUCACCAUCUGCUGAUAUUGGUUGGUUUCGUUCCUGCCAGAGCUCUUCUAUGGCACCGGCUUAUGGGAAGUCGAGUAAUCUCUGCAACUCAGGAUGUUUCUCCACAUCUGCGUGUGUAUGCUCAUUGUGCAAAACAAAAGGCAAAGCUUACACUUUGAUCAAAUCUUCGUUUUGUUUACCAUAAUUUCUGAUAGAAAAGUUUGAUCAAUUCCUGUUCUGUUUGUGUGCUGCAGCCUGGGAUUUCCCUACUUUUCAUCAACUUGUCAGGCGAGAAAUCCUUCGAAGUCACCCUUUCCAACGCCAUAGACCUGCAAGUUAAGCCUAACUUCGAGUUCAAAGGCUACGAGAAAAGGGAAGAGUACCACUUGACUCCCGAAGAUGGAAACAUCCAAAGCGAUGUCAUGUUGCUGAAUGGAAAUCCAUUGAAGCUCAAGGGUGAAUCCGAAAUUCCGGAAAUGAAACCUACUCGCGUGGAUCCUAAGACUGCCAUCUCCGUUGCCUCUCACUCCAUCGUUUACGUAACUAUCGAAGACUUCCAUGCUCCAGCCUGUGCUUAAUUAUUCCACCAUAUUUGUUUCUUUUUUCUUUUUUCUUUCAGGAAUUAGAGUUUUAGGCCUAGUUUUUAUAUGAACUUUCUAAUGUUCACAAAAAAUUUUCAUUGUUGUUUUAUAUUUUCUUUUUAUUUAGAGUGAAAUAAGAUUCGGAAAAGUUUUUUUUUACGUAUAUCAUAAAAAAAAUCCGAAACAAAAAAAUCAAAAUAUUCUAUUGAUAUAAAAUGAAAACCGAAACCGAUUUUCUUUUAUUAAUAAAAAUUAAAUCAGAGCUAUAGUUGCAUGAAUUUCAAGUUUAAAUAUCCUUUGGAAAGAUAAGGUUUGUAGUAAUAUAAUAAUAAAUAUAAAAGCAUAUGUAUUUAUUUGUUAUAUUUUGAUUAUAAUCAUUUUAAGUUAUUUUUAUUUGAUUAUAGUUUUCAAGUAUAAUUAUAAAUUAAUAUGAAUUUCAUCUCUAUUGAAUCACUUCUAUUAAAAUCAUUCACUUGACUUAAAAUUCUUUAUUCAUUAUAUUUUUAAAAUUUAUCCAAUCUGUAAAUAAAAGUUUUAAUUCCAUUCAAUCACUAUCUUUUAAAAAUUUUAAAUUAAAAAAAAAAUCACUAUCUUUAAAAAUAUAAUUCACUUUGUUCAGAAUUCUUUCUUCAUUAUAAGUCUAAAUCAUAACCAUAUUUAACUCUUUAAUUUUUCACCAAAAAAAAAAGCUUGGGCCAAGGAACUAUAAACUCUCAAUUAUUUACAUUUCAGACUUUAUAUUAUACAUAUAUAUAUAUAUAUAUAUAUAUUUGAAAAUAACAUUAACAAAUAAUAUAUAUUAAUUGAAGAAUCAUGUACAAUGCAAACAAAUACUGAUACCCAAAAAGAUUCUUCAGAAACCUUUUGGGAAAAGAAACCUUCCAUAAAGGUGUGUAAAAGAUGAAAUAAUAUAAAUAAAUCUGACUAUUUAAAGAAACCCAAAAGCAUGAAGGGAAAGAAUACGUUUCUUGGCUGACUGCACCUUUGAGAUCCAAUCCGACCUUUGCAUGCAAAGCAUAAUAACCAAACCUUGCUUGCUUUUGUCUUUGCCUAUGACUUACCUUAACAAUUCUUCCUUCCUCUAGGCUUAAAAGCAAGCAGCAGCAGCAGCCCCCUCCCACACCAAUUCUUUGCUCAGAAAACAAGUUUGUGAUAUUCAGGAGAGAGUCAUCUGAAACUGUAAUGGAGGUUUUGAUUAAGCAGAUGAGGUAAAGUUCUACUUUCUCUUUUUGGUAAAGGAAUUGGAGUUUCAUUAAACACAAAAGCUGAUUACACGGGUACUUCUAUCCCUCAUCCAACAUAGGUAAAAGUAACAUGUUCCAUUUUCUCCUUGAUUUUUCUCAAAUUUUUCGAUUGUAUCUCGUGAAUAACUUUUGUUCUCACGGGUAUAUAAUAAAGUUAGCAAAAUACCUUUAAUCCAAAGUCCACAUAUUUAUUUUUAUUAUUUUAGUAGGUAAAAUUAACGAUCUAGUUUGUUACGAGAAUAGAAAUUAUCCGCAAAAUAUUAACAGAAAAAUAAAAAUUAUAAUGUGUUACAUGGAAGAAAUUGAAAUCACGAAAGGUGUUAAUGGAAUUUAAACCCUUUUGAAAGUAGAAAUCAACUACUAUAAGCAAUAAAUUUCUGCACUGUUUAUUAAGACCAAUAGCUGAUUGAAUUCCCCUACUUUUGUUUCUGACAUUAGAAAUACAGGAAUUGCAGUAAUCUUGUAUAGAAACUUAUUGCUUACUGAAGUGCAGAAUAUAGGGAAAAAGAAAACUAGCUGUGUAGAUAAAUUUGAGCAGAAGAAGUAAAAAAAUAUAUCUGCUUGGAAACUUGCCUUUCACCGUGUGUAAGAUGUUGAUGUCCUUAGGGAUCUGCUGCCAUUUGACUGACCGCUUGUGUCAGGGGACGAUUUUUCUGGUGCCGGACGAGGAACAAUAGGAGAGUCGAGCAGUGUUAGAAACCAAAGGCUACCACCACAAAAAACUCAAUCUUUCAAAGGAGGUAGCAUUUCAUCCUCCAUCAUCAUUUUAGAGAGUUAGACAUAAAAGUUGAAGCAACAAUGACAGAACUGAAUUUUGGGUUUUGCAGAGAAGAGAAACCAGAACUGGUUCCAGAAACAAUUUUCUCGCCAAAUGAUGAGUUGGAAUAAUGAUUCAAACCGUAAUACAGAGCAAGUAGUUGCAGUUGCAGCUGCUGCAUAUGUUAUUGAAAAGAUUGCAGGAUCAAGCAUCCAUGGUCAAAAAAGAAGCAGUGCGGGUCUUGAACCCUCUUUGAUCAAGGAUAAGAGCAUAAGAGAAGGUAAGACAUUUUCAAUAUUGAAACCUUAAAUUGUAUCUGAAAGAUUCUCAGGUAAAGAUGCAAAGCGUGAGAAAUAGAAUCCAGAUAUCCAUGCAACAGAGCAUUAUAAAUUUCUACAUGCUGCUGAUGCUUAACAAAAAAUAAAUUGGCAGUUGAAGGUUCAAUGAAAGGUUCAGAAAGCGCAGAGAGCAAAGUGCCAGUAACUGACGCCACAGAUGGAAAGGCUACUAGACCUGCUCCAUCAUUUAAAAGAGCUCUUACUUUUGCUGAUUACAUUGGCAGCACUAGCAGCACAAAACCCAAAAGUAAUCAGAAACCAGAAAGUGCAGCACCAAAACCUGAUCUCCCUACCAAAAAACCUGAAAGGGCAGCACCAAAACCUGAUCUCCCCACCAUAAAACCUGUAAGCACAGCACCAAAACCCGAUCGUCCCACCAUAAAACCUGGAACUACAGCAGCACGACCUGAACAGCCUCCUACCUUUACACCUGCGGCUCCAGUGAUAGAAGUGAAAAAACAGAGUGCAGCAAUGCCAGAGACAAAAGCAGAGGAAUGGGAAAAAGCUGAGAUGGCGAAGAUCAAAGAACGGUAAUCAUCCGUUAGCAGCUUAUUAAGUACUAUCGUAUGGUACCAACCAAUUAGUAGCAAUAUAUUAAAGCCAGAAGCAACUCAACUUGCAUUGAAGCAACAAACGCAUUGCCAACAUUAAAAAGUCCAUCUUCAAUUCAACAAGCAAUUACUAUUAUAUCAUCUUCUUCACUAACAAAUAGAUUACAGGUAUGUGAAGUUAAAUAGCACUAUACUUGCCUGGGAGGAAAAGAAGAAGAAGAAAGCCACAAACAAGCUCAACAAAGCAAAGGUUGGAUUUAUUUCCCUUUUUUUUUUCUUUAAUUCAAACUAAUUCUUAGAAACUAACAGCGUAUUUCUUGGGGCAGCAGAGUGAAUUGGAGGAAAAGAGAGCACGUGCCUUAACCAAAUUUAGGAAUGAGAUGGAAUAUAUCAAACAAGUGGCAGAAGGAGCAAGAGUGCAGGCAGAGGCAAGGCAAAGAAGUGAUGUGCUUAAAGCAAAGGAAAAGGCAAAUAUAAUUAGAACAACAGGAAAAGUUCCAAGGACAUGCUUCUGCUGCUGAAUGUAAAUAAUUAUGUAGAGUCAUAAGUUUUAAGUCACAUAUGUAAAGAUCAUUUUCACAACGCUGUGACUAACUCAAGCAUGCCAAUCACAAGCAGAGACACCAGUAAUUGAAUAAUUUAACACUUGCUUCAAUGAGAAAUUACUUAAAGGACCUCAAGUAGUUUUACUAAAUCUUUCUGCCAAUUUAUGUUUGGUAUGAACAUAUAUGAAGACAUAUAGUAGCUGAUACAGGAAAAAUGCACCCGAUUGUCCUUAGAGUUUCUUACUCAAUCAAAUUAUAUGUUUAGAAUGCUAGGAAUAUGGUGAUCAAUUGCAGAAUGAGUUUUCUCUCAUUUUGAUUAUGAAGGAAUUUGAAUACUCUCCUUUAGAUAUUAAGCAUGAAAGGAAUGGCACAUGCAGAAGGUAAUAAUUAGAGAGCUGAACCAUUUCAGUUGUUCAUAAGAUGCAAGUACUAGAUGCGAGCCCAAGCAAAAACCGGGACAACCCCUCCACCCCUGUUCCUUUGAAAUCACCAUCAACAUGAAGACUGAACCAAAAACUAUGCCAUUUCUGCAUUCUGAUACAUUUAAAAAACCAGUUAAAAGAUAAUAGUAAGUAAAGCCAUAGAGUCAUUAUGUUAAAUGCUGCAAUAAAUCAUAAUAAUUCUCAAGGCUAGAAAAUCAAGCAACCAGCAAAACCAUUUACCUGACCUCUAAAUCAAGCAUGCAACAAUUUGAAGUACCAGAUAUCUUAUAUCAAUAUGCAGUAAGACAAUAAAGGCGGAAAAAAAAGAGAGGAAAUAAACACCACAAUUAACUGCAUUAUAUUCUUUUGGGAACUCCAGCUUGUACAACAGGUGAGCAGCCACUUCAAUGGCAUCUAAUUCAAGGACAUGAUCACAAUUUUAAAAACAAGCCUUGAAGACUUUUUGUAGUCAUACUCCAUCAUUGAAACAAUACAUUAAUCUGAAAGCUUCAGGAUGCUAAAAAAUCCUGUUACCAGCGACGGAGUUACUAAAUUUCAAAUAAAAGCAUUGGGGAGAGCAUUGGAAGAAGGACGAGGCCGGCUUAGGGAUUACACCAUUAGAUGAAUUCAUCUGGAGAUUGAAGUCAUCCGGAGCCAUAAAUCCCUCAGACCUUUGAAGUGAGAAUGCAGCAUCUCAUGAGGUUAUUUCUCUUACCAGCCUAUCCAACAUAGGGAAUGCAAAGUACAGUACCAAGAAAGAUGGGAUGGCGAAAACAACUGUCACCAGCAAGUAGAGUACUAAGAUAACAGCACUCGCCGGUAUUACAAAGAAGACAAUUAGAAGGAAUAUGAUGACCAAUGGGAACUUGGAUGUAAAGUGAAUGAAGAAAUCCAACGAUUUAUGAAGUGAGAAAUGAUGCCUCUCCACAUUAUUUCUGCCAUCAUUAUCUUGAGAACUGAGUUGUCCAGGACGAUGAGUAUAUGACCCUCUCCUAAAGACACCACUGGUCGCUUGAUUUCCAAGCAUUAGAUUACAUCUCGGAGAGCCAACCGGUUGAUUGUAUCCAGAUGAAGUUCUCCUCCCAAGGCCAUACCUAUCCCCAUUUAAGCUCUCAAUCAUCCAUAGAAGGAAGAAAUUCUUGCGAGGGAACUUGAGAUUCCCCUUAUAAACCAGCCGGAGCGAUAUCAAGUGGCACCACGGGCAAGAAAUGAACAAAGGGAUCUUGAUUUGCUGAGUGGGGAGUUUCAAAACAGCAGGCUGAAGCCCCAAGAUACAAUUUUGGCAAAGGGUGUGACCACACCAUAAGACGUAAGGCACAUUCUCAACAAUGUUGAAAGAUUCCCAACAAAUCGGGCAUUCCAACCCUUCCUCUCUACUACAUGAGCACACCUCAUCGUCCGAACACUCGGAACAAGCUCUAUCCGCUUCUUUUGUACUCUUUAACCCAAUGCUUGCAAUGGCAUUAGAAGCAAAACCCCACAUCGUGACAGAACAAUAAAACACAAAUAAAUCAAUAACCACUGCAGCUAACUCUUAACUACUUAGACGGGAAAAUCUGGGUCGUUUUCCAAUCAGCAAUAACUGUACCAAACCUUAAAAACAAAAAAAAAAAUGAUGAUUUCCAAGAAAGGGAGUCAAUCAUUCAAAUAUCUUACAAUUCUUGAUUCUUAAACAUAAUUAUGCUCAUACAAUGCAAAAUUAAAUGUCUGGAAGUGGGCAAGGUACAUAGGAAAAAAAAAGGACAGAGAUUGGAAUCUCGAAGACAAUGGGAAGCUGGUGGAGGGAAAAAAACAGAAGCGAAAUCGCAUAACAAAUGGAAGAAGAUUUACCUUAAAAGUUAGCUGAAUUUGAGGAGAAAGGAAAAGGGUGGGGACCGUCGGGAGCAGAGAAGAGAUCCAAAGAGAAAAGAAGAGAAAAAGGAUUUCGGAUUUCCCUCUGUCUCUCUCUUUCUCUCUCUCUGUUCUUCCUCGACGAGUUCGGGGAAUUUACCCCAUACUCUGUUUAUAAAUAAAAACCAACCUGUGGUCCGAACGGCAACAGUACAGCGUGUAUAGCGCUUUAAAACGCCGUCGUUUAACUCUGCCAUGGUUUUUUCCUUAUAAAAAUAAAAAACUUUUAUUAAAGAAAAAGAAAAUAAUCUAAUUAUUCUAAGAAUUAAAAUUGUAUUUACUCAAAGAAAUGAGCAUUUAAAUCUAUUUUUUUAAGAUAAAAAUAUUAUACUUAUCAUUAAAUUAAAUAUUUAUCUUUUAUUAAUUUACAAAUAAAAAUAAUAUUUACAGUACCCAGAACUCAUGCAAUUGUUUGGUCACAAGGAUUCUUGCAUCAAAUGCUAGAUUGUUGGUCAUGGCAUUCCACAGAACCUUGAGUAGUUCAACAAUUAUUUCUACUAUUGUUGUUGUUGAGAAUUUCCUGGAAUAAAAAGAUAAAUCGAUUUUUAUCUUGUUUUGCAAUGCUCCCACAAUUCUUGCCUGUUAUUUCUUUAUUCUCUUUAAGGAGCACCAUGACUUCAAUUUCCCAUCUCCACCCUAAUCCCACCCAACUCUUAAUUACCACUGGAGUUAAGCUCUAAUGGUUUAAUUAGUUUUAAAUCAAAACCAUAAAUCUUGGAAGGAAUGAGUUAAGCUCUUGAAUUACCACUUGAUUUCAAUUUUGGAAGGAAAGAGUAUAUACUAUAACAGGUUCUUUCUGCUCAGAUUUCUAGCGAAGGUUUUCAUGUUUUGGCAAGAGCCAGGUUUGCAAAACCAGUAGACCUUGCUCCUCGGUCCUCAAGGAGAGUUCAGGACUACUACAAAGGUUUUAAUCAGACUGUUUGGUUUGCGAAAUCAAAAUAAAAAAAUAAAAUAGUUCUUCUGUGAGAAUGUAAAAAUUGACAUUAUAUUAAUUUCUUUUUAAUUUUUCAAGUUCCAACCACUCACAUUAUCGGAUAGACUUGAACCAAGAGUUAAUGGAUUGAUGAAAAGAAACUAUUUAAUCACUAUUCUUUAAAAGUCCAUUUGGAUCUAUACCAGAUUUUCAAUACUGAAUUGCAAUUGAACAACAAAAAUUGGGUAAUAUUCACUUACGAUUAUUGCAGUAGACAGACAGAUUUAGCAGAAUUCUAAAUCACUUAUAGCUGCAUAUUAUACAGACUAAUUUGCAUAGAGCAUACAGCAAGAAAGAAAGGGGGAAAAAAGAGAGGAAAACCAAUCAUUACAGCUUGCUCAACUACAGGGUUGAUCAGUGUUUCUUCAAGAAACCUUGAGCCAUCUUCAAGUAAUCCCCAUAGCCGCCACUUGCAGAAUCCUGGUGGCCAUGACCAUGACCACCGCUGGCAUGGGGCUCCGAUUGUUUCUCAGGUUUGGUCGAGUGGGCAGAAUGAGUGGUGUUGGGGGUUGAAUGGGAAGAGUGGUACUGGUGCAGGUAAUUCUCAGCCUUGUCAACAUACUUACCAACGCCCUUCUCCUGAUCCAGCUUGCCGUAGUGCGAGGCAGCACCAAACAGAUCAGCGGCUGCACCGGCAACCUUUCCCUUGUCAACCUUAUCGCUUUCAUGGUGCAGUGAGUUCUUCGCUGCCUCCGCCACCAACUUAGCACUAGAGAGGAGCUCAGAGGAAGAUUUUGGGGGGUGCUUCUCGUGGUGAGAGGUUGGUUUAUUGUGAGGAGCUGACUCCAUUGAAAGGAUAGCUUCAGGAACAGGUGUAGCAAUAAUUGUGAUAGAGGAGGAUUGGCGAUGAUAUCUCCUUUUUAUCCCUAGUGGAUGUAUAGAUGGCUGGUUGUGCCUUUAGGCAUAGAAAAUUAGACCAUUGACCCUCGAUGCAGGGAACCUUCCUUGCGGUGUCGGCUACGCGUUACCUUUCCUAGUAAAGACUAAACAGGAUUCUUGCUUAUUCUUGGUUACUUGAUUUCUAUUUGUCAAAUCAAAUUGUGAAAUACGCGCUUAAAAAUAUAUAAAAACAAAUAGUAGGAAGUAUUCUGGAAGAGGUGGGGAUGGAUUCAACCUUAGGUCAUAUUCUGAAUUGAUUCAUACUAACAGUUAAUCAGACAGAUUUUUUUGUCAGACUGGGGACCAAUUCCCUACCCUAUCUGCUAGACUUUGUCCAAGUGAGAAAAGGCAGUAGGCCAAGAGUCCAUUUAAUCACCAUUGUCCAUGGCAAAUAUUGAAAUUGAACAUAAACAGGGUAACAUUUAUUUAAAGAUUUGUGCAAUAGAUUAGCAGAAUUCUCACUACUAACUUAUUGCUUCAUAUUACAUAGAUUCGGAUGGAGUCAUAGACCAUACAGCAUAGGGGAAAGGAAAAAGAAAACAGAUUAAAAGCCAUCAACAGUGAACACAGCUCGGUGAACUACUACAAGACAAAAUCAGUUUUACUUGAAGAAACCCUGAGCAACCUUGACGUAAUCCCCAACGCCAGCGCUUCCAGAAUCCUUGCCAUCACCACCGCUUGCAUGCGGCUCUGACUUUGCAGGCUCAGGGUUGGUCGGGGUGUCAGACUUUUUGGUGCCCGGGGUCGCUCCGGAAGACUCGUAUUGGUGCAGGUAAUUCUCUGCCUUAUCAACAUAUUGUCCAAUUCCCUUCUCCUGAUCCAGUUUGCCAUAGCCUUUGGCAGCACCUAGAAGAUCAGCAGCUGCACCAGCAACCUUCCCCUUGUCAACCUUAUCGCUUUCAUUGCUGAAUGUGGAUUUUGCUGCCCCGGCUACCACCUUAGCACUAGAGAACAGUUCAGAGGAAGUUGGGGUACGGUCUUUCUCUGACGCCAUUGUUAAGUCUGGGAGAGCUCUAGCAAAAAGUUUAUCA